rnacentral:lncRNA from 1 species
GGGACUUGUAACUGUCACUUCUGUCUUGAGUAGUUAAAAGUUAGAACGGUCUAGCCAAGUGCCAUGUCUCUUAUUCUUGAUUAGCUAUAGCUCUGGAGUUUUUGCAGAUUUUCAAAUAAAACUCAGAGAUUCCUUGUAUGACUCUCUCAGAUCUCUCUUUUGUGGUAUUUCUGGAUCCUUACCAAGGCAGUGAUGGUAUAUGCCUUCUCUCAAAAUAUGUGGUAUUUAUGGUAUAAGGCAUAGUGAUAUUGUCUUCUCUCUCACCCUACUCUAAUAUGUGGUAUUUAAUAUCUGGAGCUCAUAGGUGGGAGAUAAAGUAUACAUACUUACAAGACAUUUAUUGCAUAGUCAAACCAUGGAUCCAAAGAAACAAAUCAAUAAGUCAAAUCAAGAUGUGUAUGUGUGGCGAAUGAAUGGUAUAUGGUGAUGAUAGUGAUAACAAUGGUGGAAGUCUAAUUCUACUUUUGCUCUUUUGAGGGGAUACAUACCUUUCUUGCUCCUUGAAACUUUGUGAGGAGAAUGAGAUGCUCUUCUUUUUCUUUUCUCUCAGGCGGGUAUCUUGUACCCCUAAUUCUACUGUCGGACACUUGUCCAUUUUACCUCUCGUCUUACUUUUUCUUUUCUUUCGAGGUUCCGGGCACUUGCCCCUUUUUAUUUCCUCGUAUCUCUCUUCUUCUUUUUUAGAGCACUCAUCUUCUGAAAUAAUAUAGCAAGUGGUAGUAACAAGAUAACUUGAGCAUUUAUUUCACAGGGGAAAAACAUAAAUAUUUUUGGCUACUCUCUCCCGGAUUAGGAGUAGAAUAUUUUUGGGUGGUUCUGGAGAUGGAAAUGGGUGGAUAUAUGUGGAUGGUACUUCCGGAGUAGAAGCAGCAUAUGUGAGUGAACAUGCAAGUGAAUCUUGAUUUAACCACAUAACAAGCUCCUAAGGGUCUACACAGCUUGACCACACUCAAUGCUCAUAAGCAGUAAAAAGUAAAUGUGUGGCUCAAAGUCUAGCAAGCAUGUAUAUAUGGUUGUGGUAGGAAUUUAAACUCUCAUCAUACAGGAACUCAUCAUGUGUUAUUUUAAAGAUUUUCAAAGAUAAAAUUCUCCAGAAUUUUAGCAUUUCUAUGAACAGAUAUACAGCAGCUCAACCUUCUCAUAUCAUAUCCGUUAACAACUUAGACUUAGACUUUAGAUCAAGUUUUCUUCCCACAAGUUUAGGUUUAGAGCAAGCUUUAAAUUAUAACAGUUAUGUCUAAACUUGAGAGAGAACUUCAAAAUUUUAAAAAUUAGGCAGAGCAACUAUUCAUCACAUCCAUGCUAGUGUUUUAUUAUUAAGGUCCAGUUUAGCAUAGCCACUUUAUUUAUUUAUUAAGCACACUAAGCAAAAGAUAUAUAUAAGCACAAAAUCUUUAUUUGGUUUUUCAUAGUUAUGUAUUUUAAUAUAGUAUAAGUAUAAAGAUAGAUAGAAAUACUUAGCGAGAUAAAUGGGGGUGCUCUCCCCCAAGCUGAAUUUUGACGUAAUUUCUCUGAUGUAGCUAGCAGGUGGCAGAGGUGUAUUUGGAAGUCAGCAGCAUUCUGACAGCGAUUAGAAUGUCCUCCGUCUGCUAGUCUUCUUGAUUCUUAAAUUCUGUGGAGCUCAAAUAGACAACAAAGCUUUGUGGAACUGAUUAAGUGUUAGCAUAAAUAUCUAGCCUGUAUCAUGUUGAGCCUCCUUAAUAAAUAUUACUCCUUAUUUUUUUUAUUUUCGCUUUUAUAAAGCAGAAAAAAUAUUUAUUUUAUUUUUAUGCCACCACAGUGAAUGUACUUAUGGGUUUUAUGCCACUCAUAUACUCACAUGGGGUUUACUAUUUUUUAACAUUUUUAUUUUCUUUUUAGGAUAGUAUGAACAUAAUUAACUAAGUAAACUAUUUUAAAUAUUUGAAAGGAAAAAGGAUAACUACCAAGUUUACCUCUUGGCAAGGCGUUCGGUGUUUUUAAGUCCUCCGAACGGGACUCUCCGUUUUCUCAGUUGUCCCGGGGUUCGUUGGGUGCGUAGUCGGUGCUUCCGGCAGCGCCUCUUCUUCAUGUAUAGUUAUCUUCUCUCUCCACACCUGACUUGGUGCUAUAGUUUCCUCUGGAUAAUUCUGUUUAAACUGUAUGUCUUCUGACCUUAUCACUUCUCCUUCGUAGUCUGCCCAUCCGUCCUUGAUGAUUUGCCUCCUCUGGUUGCGGUUGCGUCGCUUUCUGACCUGCUUAGAGUCUGCAACGAUAUAGUUAGGGUCAGUAAAAUAGCGGCAUACCUUCUCUGAGGGGAAGUGCAUAUGGACUUCUCCAGUUCCAAUGUAGAUGAUUGCUUUAACGGUGCUGAGGAACGAUCUUCCAAGAAUGAUGGGUGGAUCGUAUUCGUCUUCUCCCAUGUCAAUAACCUGAAAGUCUGUGUAGACAAAAUGAUCGUCUAUUUUGACUGGGACAUCAGUUACUGUUCCUUUAACCUCUCGAAAUAUCUGAUCUGCCAUCUGGAGCUGAAUGUAUAUUGGUUUUAAGGGCAUGGUUCCGAACAAGAGCCGAUAGGUGACUGCGGCCAUUAUGUUGACGCCCGAUCCUGUGUCGCAAGUCGUCUUGUAGAAGUUGUAUCCAUUUAUGGAGCAAUAGAUGCUUGGCAUUCUUGGGUCGUCCUUCUUGGUCAGAAACGGUGACUUAAGUUUAUGAUCUUGACCUCCUUGAACUGCAGUGACCAUCUUAGCUGACUCGGUCCACACUUGCUUGUUCCUGUUCCUCCUGUUGGUCCUCUUCCUUGAUUCACGUCUGGAUUGCUCUGGAAUUUGUGUAGUCUUGUUCUUGAAGGAAAACGUCUUCUUCCUCCCUUUGAUGUAGAAACUGAUCUUGGCAGCACUAGCGUAGAUGACAGCUCCCGAGGUGUUUAAAAAUGACCUCCCUAAGAUGAUGGGUGCCCUCUCAUCAUUACCGGUCUCUAUCACCACGAAGUCUGUUGGGGCGUACAAGGUACCAACUCGGACACAAAGGUUCCUCAAUAUUCCUUUUGGAAAACCUAACGUCUGAUCUGCAAACUGCAAACACAUGGUUGUUUCUAAUAAAGGAUAUGUAAAGAAUUUUUCAUAGAGUACCCUGGGCAUAAUGUUGACACUAGAGCCAAAGUCGCAGAGUGCUUCUGGGAAGUCCACCAUGCCGAUAGAGAUCGGGAUGACGGGGCGUCCUGGAUCGCCUCUCUUGACCGGUAGAAGGUCAGUAGUAACUUCAGUGACGGGGUUACUCCAGUUAUUACCUGCAUCAAACAUGUCUACAAGAUUUACAGAUUCUAAUCCUUUCGGUUGUGAUGGUAUACUGGGGUUAGUAGCAGGAACAACAGCAACUAUUUGAUUUAAGUGAGAUUCAAUCAUUUUAUUAAAGCUAAUUUGAUUCUUGAUGGCAGUAGAAAAAUUAUCCAUUCUAUUAUUUAUAUUUUCUAGCAUUUUAUCAUUAGAUGCCAAUUUCUUAGAUAGAUUAUCCAUUAGCUUUCCUUGAUUAGACACUAACUCUCUCAGAGGUGGAAAAUUAUUAUUAUUAUUGUAAGAAUUGUUACCUUGAUAAUUACCUGAGUAGUUAGGCCUCAGUUGAUUCCAACCUUGAUUUUGUUGAGGACGGUUGUAGUAGUAGUUGUUGUUGUUGUUGAUGUAGUUCACAUCCUCAAGCAUCUCAGGACAGUGAUUGCCUGAGUGUCCAGUGUCUCCACACUCCUCACAAGUCAUGUGAGAGCCGUAGAUGUACAUAACUUCUUUCUUAUCUCCACCUCUAUCUUCGAGCUUCUUCAUGAGCAGGUCUAGCUUUGCAGACAGCAUGUCUAUCUCCUUGAGCUGAUGCAUACCUCCACCUCUCUUGCGUGUCUGGGUCCUCUCUUCAUUCCAGCCUUGGUUGGACGCCAUCUUCUCCACAAGAGUUGUGGCUUGUGAUAUGGUGAGUGAUAAGAAUGCUCCUCUAGCUGCAGCAUCCAUGGUCUCUCGGGCACUGUUACCGAGCCCAUGAUAAAAUGUCUGCAUUAGUAGCCAGCUCUCCAUUCCAUGAUGGGGACAUUCUAGGAUGUAGUCUUGGAAGCGCUCCCAUGCUUCUGGAACAGAUUCAUCAUGUUGUUGCUGAAAACUUGUAAUCUUCCCACGGAGAGCAUUGGUCUUGCCCCUGGGAAAGAACUUAGCCAGGAAGUUCGUGGAGCAGAGUGCCCACGUAGUAUUCUCCUCCUUUGUAGCGUAGAACCACUGCUUCACUCUCCCUUACAGUGAGAAUGGGAAGAGGCGAAGUAGUAUAGCAUCUCUGGGGACUCCUCAUAUGGUGAAUGUGCUGCAAAUCUCUAGGAAGUGUUGGAGAUGAGCACUAGCAUCUUCGUGUGCCUUCCCACAGAACUGGUUGGAUUGCACCAUGUUGAUAAGUCCAGGCUUGAGCUCAAAGUUGCCGUCGAUAUCUGUAGCAGGUCCAGUAUGGAUGUUGUCCGUAGUGGGAGCUGAGAACUCACAGAUUGAUUUGUUCGCCAUGGCUUCGAACUCUGAAGACAAGUUCCAGUGAUCUUCUUGAUUGGAUGAAGCUUCUUGCUGAAGUGUUGAUGAUCUCUUCUUGAGCUUGGCUCUUGUUUAUCUGAAUAACACUUCAGGAUUGUCAACAAAAUUUCCUGGAACAUGUCUUCUAUUCAUACAUUACCCUGCAUAAGAUAAAAUAGAAAAAUAUCGGGGUAAAAUUGUAUGAGAGAAUUGAUAAGCUCAAUCAGAUUAGUGAUGCAAAUGAUAACUCCAAAUUCUAUAUCCAUUCCUGAUUAGUAAGCAACCUUCCCCGGCAACGGCACCAAAAAUGCUUGUUGGGUAUUCUUAACGUCAUUACCAAAAGUAGACUUAGUUUUCUAAUUCUGAUAACGGCGCCAAAAAUGCCAAACCUAUCCCUCAUACCACUUAAGCCAAGUUGUCAUCCCCAGCAUGACAUGAGAGACGCGGUAUUGAAAUAUGUAAUUGCUCAUCUAAAUAAAUAAUAAAUGGGAUCUGCAAGCGCACAGAUUAAUACCGAUGUAGCAUUUUAACCGGGAAGUACCGUUAUUUAUAUUUUUACCACUGGGAAGGGAUUAGUAACCAUCAAUGUUGAUUAUAGAAUGGAAUAUGAGAUUGAGUAUCUAUCAUUGCAUGUAUAAUUGAGAACAUUUAUCUAACUCUUUCAUACAGCGAUAAGUGUCACAUAAAAGAUAUAUGAAGUAAUGAAUAGUGACAAAGAUAAUUAAUCUGAUCAGCAUAACUUAACCACAUAUAAAUAUGAUAAGCACCUCAAUUAGAUAUUCUAGCAAGUCAUUAGCAUGGUAUUAGGACGAACUACAAGAAUAUUUCCUAAGUUAUUCUUAACUAUACAGUCUAGCAUUAUCAUAGUUAGUGCAAGCAUACUUAGCAAUCAUUGCGAGACAGGACUACGCCCAUGCAUAGUGAUAUUAGCAAGGAAAAUGAGAAACAUCGUAAUCACUCCCCUGUAAUAAUGUUGCUCUGCCAGCCCAAUACAUGAGAGGGGGACUAUAUAAGAAUCAAUGAAGCUGUCACUAUCACGAACUACCCCACGAUCUGGCAUAUAGGGUACAAUCACAGAUAAAUACGAUAUAAGCACCACGCCUACACAAUAUCUAUCAUUUACCCAUGGAUCUGAUGGAUAAACGUUAUACGAUCCUAAGCAUGUAUAUAAAUUCAAUCUAACUAAGCCAAGUAUAUAACUAUGAUAAACUAAGAACAAUAUAAUCUUGAAUAUAAACAAGUAGAGCAAAGUCAUAAGCAAUAUAUUGAAGUAGAACAAAGUCAUAUUCAUAAUAUUGAAGAACAAAGAUGAACAAUUAGAAGAACAAUUAGAGAAUUACCAAGAAUCCUCUUGACAAAUCCAGAAACCAAUCGAAGAUUGACUCCUUCUUGUUCUAAUCCUAUGUAGCUAUGCUAAUCUAGAUGUCUAAUUGAUGUGGUGGCUCUAGGCAUGAUCAGAGGCUUCUUCUCCCUUGAGGAAUAAUGAAUUAGGGUUGAGAGGCUCUCUCCUCUAGGGGCCAGGGGGUCUGGUUUUAUAGUCCCUCCAAGUGAAUAUGGGCCGUUGGAUCAAACCGACAAUGAUUGAACGGUUAUCCUUGAUCCUUUAGGUCGGUGGAGCUUGAUCCCGAAAGAGAGUUCUGAUUGGACUCUGAAGGGGGGCGGGCGCCCUGGUCUCCUAGGCGGACGCCCUGGGCCAGGCCCCGUUUCGCCUCCGCUUCGUUCUCGUGGCUUCUGGAUUCUUCUAGAUGUAAGAUAAUUGCGCGGCACGUUAAUAUCUCUAUGUAAUCCCGACGUGUGGGCCUUUCUUCCAUAUUUCCUGAUAACCCCCUGCAGAAAUAGACAAACACCAAAACUCGUGGAAUUCUGUCAGAUAAAAUCCUAAGUUUGGAUGUUGAUUUCAUUUGGAUCCUUUUCUUUGUUUAUUUGAUAAUUAAAUUUGAUACUUAAGGACCGUCAACACCAUGCUAAGACUUGCGUGGCAAAUUAUGUACUUGCCACGUCAUGUCGUUCGUUGCAAAUUAUGUACUCGCCACGAUACGACUUUCGGGGAAAAUUAUGUACUUGCCACGUUAUGGCGUUCGUGGCAAAUUAUGUACUUGCCACGGCGUCGCGGUCGCAUGGCAAGUACACUAUACGCAACAAAACUGUAACGUAGCAAAACUAUCAUAUUGCUACGCUAAUGAUCGUUGCAUGUACGACCUGUUGCUACCACGAAACCCAUGGCAAGUGCUCCAAUUGCCACGCCCGUGAACGUUGCGUCAAAAUCCUAUUGCCAUGCUUGGCAACGAAAUUGUAACGUUGCAAAACUAUCAUAUUGAUAUGCUAAUGAUCGUUGCAUGUACGACCUGUUGCUACCACGAAACCCAUGGCAAGUGCUCCAAUUGCCACGCCCGUGAACGUUGCGUCAAAAUCCUAUUGUCAUGCUUGGCAACGGAUUGCAAUGGUUGCAACAAUCCUAAGCACUUGCAACGUCAAACUAGAUAUUGUGGCAAUACCUUAUUGCCACGUGACAUCUUGCAACCCUUGGCAACGAACGAGAUUUCGUGGCCCAAACUACUGCUUGCAACAAAAUUGGGCAUAUCGCAACGGUUUUUGGUCGUUGCAUAAGGGGUAGAAUUUAGUAGUGAGGGCCGGUACUACCGGCUCACCCUGGCAGAGAAGAAAAUUCCUAGUUGUUCGUGCGUGCAAGUGUGUCUCUCAAGCGCAAAAGCUAAGAUGACCUGAGCACCCUUGUCCUCAUCUUACCAACUCAAUUUGCAUCCCUCUUGAUAGUGCGGUGUUUCCUAUAAAUCAACCAAGAAAUAAAACUAGGUAGCUUCUUGAGUUGAAACGUCGCUUAGACAAGGAAAAAUUUUGGGGUGCUGUGAUUCACCAAAUGUGUUUGUUUGAUUCCAUCAAUGAACUAGCAACUGUAGAUUACACUUGAUAAACAUGUUAGUUCCUAAUUUGAUUGUCAUCAAUUAUCAAAACCCACAUCGGGGCCGAAUGCACUUACAAACUCCACUUUUUUGGUAAUUGAUGACAACCAACUUAGGCUUAUAAAAGAUUGAAAGAAUUAAAGCUUUUGAAUUCCAAAAAUCAGGUUUAGCUCCCCCUUAAUGUAUGCAUUGGAUUUGGAAUUUCAAAUCUUGAUUAACAUCAAGAUAGCAUACAUUAAGAUCAAGCUCCCCUUAAAUUUUGCAAUUCGUGGGGUGCCUAAAAGAGUGUGUGAGCAACAAGAAAUAAACCAUGAUGCGUGUGACAGGAUAUAUCACAAAGAGUAAAAGAAGAAUUUGAAUGGUUAUGCAAGAACUAAAGGGCUCACAAUAACCAUUCAAAAACAACAUUGCAUCAACAAAGGUCCAAAUAAGCUAAAACAAGCAAGAUAUAAUAAUGAAAUAAGAGUGUUUAGCUUACAAUCAACCAUCACACAUAAUUAGUUCUUGUUCACCACACAUAGUUCACCACACAGAAAGGUUUAAAAGGACCAACAACUAACUUAUUACAGCAAAGAUAAGCCUAACACUCCCCCUUUGGCAGCAAGUGCCAAAAAGGGUAGGCUGCGAGAAGAAGCUAGGUAGACUACUCGUCAUCAUCAUCAAGGUCGUCGUCGUCGUCGUAGUCGAUCAAGGUACGCAGCGGCCCCUUACCAUGAGGAUCAGCGGAGGUAGACUGCUCGUGAGGGGGUGCAGCGGAAGCAGAGGCCCUAGUCACAUCAUCUGCGGGACCAAAGAUGUCCUGAAACGCAAAGCCGGCCUCGGUGUCCUCCAUGGAGAAACCAGCAGGGAUCCCACCACCAUAAGAUGGAUCAAAAGCAGAGGGUGGAGGAGGAUCCUGCUGCUCCUCAUCCUCAUCAACAGAAGUCUUGUGCAUGUUGUCAUAUUCAUCAUAGGGGUCCUGGAACUCACGAAGAGGAGAGGACGGAGGAAGAGCUGCUUUCUCCUCAAGAUGACGAAGACGCUUAUCGGUCUUCUUCUGACAAUAGCAAAAAUAAGAGAAGAACCGCUACAGCGCAUGACGGGUAGGGCUGCAGCGUCCACGACCGCUGUCCGUAGGAGGGACAGCUUCCUCUUGAGCAUCAUCAGCACCAACAGCAGGAACAUCACCAGCGGGAGGAGCACCACCAGUAGGACUGAGAGGUGGAGCAUGAGGAGCACCCAAGUGCUUGGCACGAACUGGAGCAUGAACACAAGGGUGCGAGAACUGCACUCCAGUAACUUGCUCAAUAAUGUGCAUGAGAUAGGGAGCAUAGGGCAAGUACUUGUCAGGAUCAACAGACGCAUCCACAAUCUUGUUCCACAUGAAAUCUGAGACACCAAAGCGUCCACCAUUAGCACCAAAGCGAGCCAAUAUCUUAGGAGCAUCAAGACGGAGGUGAAUAGAAUCUCCAAACUUGGGGUCAAUGGUGUAACGAAUCAAGUUGUUCAGCACAUAGAAGAACGGCUUCAACUGAGUGGUCUUGAAAUCCGAAUGAGCUCUAGGCUUGUACAUUUCAGCAGCAUCAAGAUCAGUCUCAGAAAUCCCCUCAGCAAAGAUGUUAGACAGCCGGGGUGCAUCACGAUCCGCAUGAUCAAAACCAAGCAAGCGAGAGAAGGUGAUAAAGUCAAGGUGAUAAUGAACACCUUGAGUCAUCCAAUGCAGCACCCUAGAAGCUUGAUCCACCCACAAGGUUGCCCAAAACUGAAAGAUGAUUUCUUCAUUCCAAUUCUUCUCAAAGGUCAUAAGGGGAAGGAUGUGCCAUUCGUCAAGCUUGUGAAUUAAAGCAGUGACCGCAGGAUGAUUGAAUUCUUGCAGGGACUUGAGGACCACAUACUUGUGCUGAAAAAGUGGACCAUUCUUGGUGACUUUAGUGGCCUUGUAGAGGGCGGACUCAUAGAAAUCAUUGUGAAACUGUGACCAAAACCGCUCCUCAACUCCCUCAAACUUGACAAACUUGUAUGGGUUCUCGCUGUGCUGAUUCCUUAAGUCCACAAGGCGCUUCUUGUAAUCAAUGCCAAGCUGGGGUUGGGUCAUAGAGGGAAUAGAGGGCCUCCUGACAUGGGCAUUGAAUUGAGGAUGCCAGGAGAGGGUCCAAUGAGCACCAACCUCACUGAGAUGCAGGGGUGAUCAACGAAGGACAUUGGGGUCCAUGGCCCGUCCUUCCUCUUGCACAGGAUCAGGAACGGUUUGACUGCGAACUCGCUCACGGUGAGAGAGAGGCAGACACGGGACAGUGUGGGUGUGAAGAGGGGCAGGAAUGCCCUCAUCACCGGUAGAAGCACCAGCCACACCCUGACCACGGGAAGGAGUCCCACGGCCACGCACUGCCCGUUCCGCAGACCGACUGCCGACAUCACUGGAUCUAGGGCGAGCACCACGGGGAGGGUUCUUGCGCUUCAUGGAUUCCAUGCUGCAACACCACAAAGAGGGGCAGCAAAAUUGAUUACGAGAACGCAAAAGAAUGCAGCAACGGAUCGAUCAAGGCGAUGGGAGGAACUGCCUUGCUCACAAGGGCCAGUACCACCGGCGGCACCGAGGAGCAUGAAAAUCGCCUCCUAUCGACCGAAUCGACCACGGGAAAAGUGCAUAAAGCAUUCUAGAACCAAGAAUACACUAAGGGAAGGGAAAGGAGUAUGAGGAAACGGUCUAAAAGAAGGUACAUUGAGAGAUCGGGCGAGUUCAACGUGUACCUUGCGUCACUGAGAAGAAGGGCCAAAUCCACGCAAUCCCAAAGGACUUGGAGUCCACAGAGACUCCCCGCGAGUCCUCCAUGGCCGAGGCUAAGACCCCCUUGAAGGUUGAGCGAAAAGGCCGGAGGAAACGGUACAUCGGGGAAGGGAGCCGCCGCCGCCGCCGCGAGAAGAGGAAAGAAGAAGGGGUCGGGCGGGUGGGGAAGAGAAAAGGCAGAUAAAGAAAUUGUGGGUGGCUUAAAUACCGCAGUAAAAAGUACUACCAGUACUACCGGCCAAGGAGCCAGUACCACCGGUGAGCCAAAGAGAGGGGAGCUGAGUUUUGCGGGAUUUUGGCCUACCGGUGCUACCGGGCUUCGGCCGGUACCACCGGCUGGAUCCGGUACCACUGGGGCAAGGCGCCGGUACCACCGGCAAGACAGGGAACAGCGCAGAAGUGAACUCAGUGUGGCAAACUUAGAACCAAAUCAAACAUGGCUAGAUUUCAUCAAGUCAUUACAAAACAAUGGUCAUGCUUGAGGUGUGAAAAAUAGAUUUUGAAAUAACACUCAAUUUUUCAUAAAGUUUUGACCUUUCUAAUCAAUCAAGUAUGUGCAAGACAUCAAGCCAUGUUACGAGAAUCAACAAUAUUUAGUUCACGCCUCAAAGCACAAAACCUUGACUCAUCUAGAGGUUUAGUGAAGAUAUCGGCUAACUGAAAUUCGGUUCUCACAUGUUGUACAACGAUAUCUCCUUUGGAUUGGUGGUCUCUCAGGAAGUGAUGGCGAAUGUCUAUGUGCUUUGUUCUAGAGUGGUUUACAGGGUUAUCAGCUAGCUUGAUUGCCCCCUCGUUGUCACAUAAGAGGGGAAUCUUGCUUUGCUCACAACCAAAGUCUCUCAAGGUUUGCUUCAUCCAAAGCAGUUGGGCACAGCAGGCACCGACCGCCACGUACUCGGCUUCAGCGGUGGAAAGGGCAAUGGAAUUUUGUUUCUUAGAACUCCACGACACCAAGGACCUACCAAGAAAUUGGCAAGUCCCUAAUGUACUCUUUCACUCUACCCUACAACCGGCAUAGUCCGAAUCGAAAUAUCCAAGUAGAGUGAAAGUAGAGCCCUUUAUGUACCAUAAGCCAAGAUUAGGAGUGAACACAAGAUACCGAAAGAUUCUCUUAAUAGCCAUGAGAUGGCAUUCUUUCGGAUUAGCUUGAAAUCUUGCACACAUGCACACACUAAGCAUAAUAUCAGGCCUAGAUGCACAAAGGUAAAGCAAAGAUCCAAUCAUGGAGCGAUAUACCUUGAUCAAUGGCCUUGCCGUCUCCAUCAAGGUCAAGGUGUCCAGUUGUUGGCAUUGGUGUCUUUAUGGGUUUGGCCUUGUCCAUGUCAAACUUCCUUAGCAUGUCGGUGGUGUACUUGGUUUGACUUAUGAACGUGUCGUCCUUGAGUUGCUUAUUUUGAAAUCCAAGGAAGUACGUCAACUCCCCCAUCAUGGACGUCUCGAACCUUUUGGUCAUGAUCCUACUAAAUUUUACACUGAAGUCCGCAUUAGUACUACCAAAUAUAAUGUCAUCGACAUAUAUUUGGCAUAUAAAAAUAUCAUUAUUGACUUUGCGAGUAAAUAAAGUGGGAUCGGCUUUUCCAAUCUCAAACCCUUGUUUGAGUAGGAAAUCCUUGAGACAAUCAUACCAAGCUCUAGGGGCUUGCUUAAGCCCAUAGAGUGCCUUGUCAAGCUUGUAGACAUGAUCGGGAUGAUGUGGAUCUUUAAAACCCGGCGGUUGCUCCACAUACACGGUUUCGGAGAGGGGGCCAUUGAGGAAUGCACUUUUCACAUCCAUUUGAAACAACUUGAAAUCAUGGUGAGCAGCAAAGGCAAGUAAUAUGCGAAUAGAUUCAAGCCUAGCUACAGGUGCAUAAGUCUCCCCAAAAUCCAAACCUUCAAUUUUAGUGAAACCUUUGGCAACCAACCGAGCCUUGUUUCUAGUGACCACGCCAUACUCAUCUUCUUUGUUGCGGAAGACCCAUUUGGUUCCUAUCACGUUUUGCUUGGGUCUUUCCACCAAGGACCAGACUUCAUUCCUAGUGAAGUUGUUCAACUCCUCUUGCAUAGCCAUCACCCAAUCUGGAUCCUUCAAGGCAUCUUCCACCCUAUUUGGCAACAUAGAGGAGACAAAAGAGUAAUGUUCACAAAAACCAACUAAACGAGAGCGCGUUGUUACCCCUCUUUGUAUGUCUCCCAAAAUGCUGUCAACAGGAUGAUCCCGUUGGAUGGAGUGAUGAACUCUUGGGUGAGGCACUGCUGUUCUUGUUUGAAUAGGGCCAUCAUCUUCAUCUUCAUGGUCUUGGUUGGUUGGAGAAUCUAGAUCUUGAAUGUUUUGAUCUCCAUCUUGGUUUGGUUCUUAUGCUUGAGGUGGAUCUUGUCCAACUUGUUCUCUUGAGUCAUGACCUCUUCUUGAUGUGGAAGUAUCAUCAUGGGCAUUGGUUGACCCAUGAUGCAAGUUUGGGUCACGAGAAAUUUGCAUGUGUGCAUCAUCUUCUUCUUCUUCAAUGGGUUUCACUUCACCGGUAGCAAGCUUUUUGAUUACUUGGCGAGAUGGCUCUUCUUUACCUAGAAUUUCAGCAUUGACUUGCUCCUUUUGAGAGCCGUCGCUUUCAUCAAAAGUCACGUCUACCGCUAUUUCAAUUUGACCGGUGGUCUCAUUGAAAACACGAUAGCCGUGUUGAUUAGUAGCAUAACCAAGUAAGAACGCUUCAUCAACCUUUGGUGAGAACUUAGAGCUUUUGGAUCUUUUAUUAAGUAUGAAACACUUGCAUCCAAAAACUCUAAAGUAAUCCACCUUAGGCUUUUUACUGGUUAGAAGCUCGUAGGUGGUUUUCUUCCUCAACUUGUGGAGGUAUAAGCGGUUGAUGGCGUGACAUGCCGUGUUAACGGCUUCGGCCCAAUAGUCCUUUUCGGAAAUCUUGUAUUCAUCCAACAUUGCUCUUGUGGCUUCAAUGAGUGUUCGGUUCUUCCUUUCCACCACACCGUUUUGUUGUGGAGUAUAUGCAACCGAGAACUCAUGCUUGAUGCCUUCUUCAUCAAGGUAUGCUUCAAUGUUGGUGUUUCUAAAUUUGGUCCCGUUGUUGCUUCUCACUUUCUUGAUCUUCAAUUCAAACCCAUUUUGAGCCCUUCUUGCAAACUUCUUGAAGAUCCCUUGGGUCUCACUCUUGUCCUUCAAAAAGAAUACCCAAGUGAAGCGAGAAAAGUCAUCAACAAUUACAAAACCAUAUUUGUUACCUCCAAUGCUUAUGUAAGCAUUGGGUCCGAACAAGUCCAUGUGAAGUAGCUCAAGUGGUCUUGAUGUAGUCACAAUGUUCUUCGCGGGAUGCUUGGCUCCAACUUGCUUUCCCGCUUGACAUGCACUGCAAAUUCUAUCUUUCUCAAAAGAAACAUUCGUUAGUCCAAGGAUGUGUUCACCUCUUUGAAGAUCGGCCAAGUUCCUCAUCCCAACAUGGGCUAGACGGCGAUGCCACAACCAGCCCAUGCUAGAUUUUGCCACUAAACAAGUCUCGGACCCCACUCCACUAGCUGCGAAAUCAACUAGAUAGAGCUUGCCCUUUAGUUGACCCGUAAAAACAAUAGAGGAAUCCGACCUUCUAGAGACUUUCACACCCUUAUCCGUAAAGAGACAAUUGUAACCCUUCUCACAAAGUUGUGAGACGGAUAACAAAUUGUAUCCCAACGAAUCCACAAGCAAAACAUUUGAAAUGGAAUUAUCAUUUGAAAUUGCAAUUUUACCUAAACCAAGGUUAUCUCCUUUACUAUUGUCACCAAAGACAAUCCUUUCACUUGUGAUUUGACUUGGUUGAAAGGAGGUGAACAUGUUCUUCUCUCCGGUCAUGUGUGUUGACGGUCCUUAAGUAUCAAAUUUAAUUAUCAAAUAAAUAAAGAAAAGGAUCCAAAUGAAAUCAACAUCUAGACUUAGGGUUUUAUCUGACAGAAUUCCACGAGUUUUGGUGUUUGUCUAUUUCUGCAGGGGGUUAUCAGGAAAUACGGAAGAAAGGCCCACACGUCGGGAUUACAUAGAGAUAUUAACGUGCCGCGCAAUUAUCCUACAUCUAGAAGACUCCAGAAGCCACGAGACCGAAGCGGAGGCGAAACGGGGCCAGAGGCAGGGCGCCCGCCCUCCUGCCCUAGGCGCCCGCCCCCUCCCUGAGUCCAAUUAGGACUCUGCUUCGUGGGAGAUCUCCACCGACCUAAAGGAUGAAUCUAAACCAUACAAUCUAUGUCGGUUUGAUCCAACGGCCCAUAUUCACUUGAAGGGACUAUAAAACCAGACCCCCUGGCCCCUGGAGGAGAGAGCCUCUCAACCCUAAUUCAUUGUUCUUCAAGGGAGAAGAAGCCUCUGAUCAAGAUUAGAGCCACCACAUCAAUUAGAUAUCUAGAUUAGCAUAGCUACAUAGGAUUAGAACUAGAAGGAGUCAAUCUUCGAUUGGUUUCCGGAUCUGUCAAGAGGAUUCUUGGUAAUUCUCUAAUUGUGCUUCUAAUUGUUCUUCUAAUUAUCUUUGUUCUUCAAUAUUAUGAAUAUGACUUUGUUCUACUUCAAAAUAUAUUGCUUAUGACUUUGCUCUACUUGCUUAUAUUCAAGAUUAUAUUGUUCUUAGUUUAUCAUAGUUAUGUACUUGGCUUAGUUAGAUUGGAUUUAUAUACAUGCUUAGGAUCGUAUAGCGUUUAUCCAUCGGAUCCAUGGGUAAAUGAUAGAUAUUGUGUAGGCGUGGUGCUUAUACCGUAUUUAUCUGCGAUUGUACCCAAUAUGCCAGAUCGUGGGGUAGUUCGUGAUAGUGACAGCUUCAUUGAUUCUUAUAUAGUCCCCCUCUCGUGUAUUGGGCUGGCAGAGCAAUAUUAUUACAGGGGAGUGAUUGCUAUGUUUCUCAUUUACCUUGCUAAUAUCACUAUGCAUGGGCGUAGUCUUGUCUCACAAUGAUUGCUAAGUAUGCUUGCACUAACUAUGAUAUGCUAGACUAUAUAGUUGAGAAUAACUUAGGGAAUAUUCUUGUAGUUUGUUCUAAUACCAUGCUAAUGACUUUCUAGAGUAUCUAAUUGAGGUGCUUAUCAUAUUUAUAUGUGGUUGAUCAGAUUAAUUAUCUUUAUCACUAUUUAUUAUUUCAUAUAUCUUUUAUGUGACACUUAUCCUUGUAUCAAGAGUUAGAUAAAUGUUCUCAAUUAUACGUGCAAUGAUAGAUGCUCAAUCUCAUAUUCUAUUCUGUAAUCAAUAUUGAUGAUUGUUAAUCCCUUCCUAGUGGUAAAAAUAUAAAUAACGAUACCUGGAAUACUUCCCGGUUAAAAUGCUACAUCUGUAUUAAUCUAUGCGCUUGCAGAUCCCAUUCAUUAUUUAUUUAAAAGAGCAAUUGCAUAUUUCAAUACCGCGUCUCUCAUGUCAUGCUGGGGAUGACAACUUGGCUUAAGUGGUGUGUGUGGGGGGAUAGACCCCUAUACCCUUACGGCUAGACUUGGGCCAGGAGGCUUGGCCCAUUACGAGACGAGUUCAAGGCUUGAUCCGACAGCCUGGAGUUUCGCGCAAGGAAGCGAGAUGUGGAGAUCAAGCAGGAUUCUAGUCGGUUAGAAUAGGAAUUGAUAUCGAACUAUCUAUGACAAUUGUAACCGACUAGGAUUAGUUUCCAGAUCUGUAACCCUGCCCUUCAGACUAUAUAAGGAGAGGCAAGGGACCCCCUAGGAUAUCAUAUUCUCUCAACACAAAUCAAUACAACCAGACGCAGGACGUAGGUAUUACGCCAACUCGGCGGCCGAACCUGGAUAAAAAGCUUGUCCGUGUCUUGCGUCACCAUCGAGUUCGUAGUUUGCGCACCAUCUACCGAUAAACUACUACCGUGGGUAUACCCCAAGGUAGACUGCCGACCAGCUUUCGUCGACAGUGGCGCGCCAGGUAGGGGGUGUGCGUGCAACUUUUCCGGCGAACAAGAUGGUCACGAUCCCAGCUUCCGCGACCGUGCCUGAAGGCCUCACGUUCACCGUUGGCCAGAUCACGUGGACGACGUGCAGCGGCGGCCUCACGACCACGGUUUCGAAAGAGACCCAGAUCCAAUCUGAGAUCACGCCGUCUCCGACCACACACGUGGCGGCACCGAGCGCCCGACCACCGUUCCCGCUCUACAAGGGAAAGAAGAUCGACAGCUCGGACCUUCUCCAAGCGCUUGAUCGCGCUGACUCCAAGCUACUCGAAGUUUCCCAACUAAUAGACAGAGUUCUGCAUCGGCCCGACCAAGCUGCUCCAGCGGAUUUUUUCAAAUCCCGCCGGCCAACUCGUGUCGCCACACACGAACGGCUGGGAACGUCUCUGACGAUAACCUCAACCCCCUCAGGACGAUCCGUCGAGCUCAAGAAGGAAGAUUAUCCUUGCGGCCUGAACAACUCGGCCUCUGUUUACUCACAGCACACCCAAUCCGUUUUUAGCAAGGCGGGUUGGUCGCCGACAAGGAACGAUCGUCACUACGUCAACAUGGUGACAAUCCGAGAACUACGGGACGGCCAGGUUUCCAGCACCAACUCAAGCACCGGUUCCGUCCCCACCGAGGUUAUAAACACCGAAGACGAGGACUACGACCUGGAUUUUCCUUCACACCCUCCGGGUUUCAACCGAUUCCCGAUAUUUCCCCCCCGGCGAGGGGAUAUUGUGUUCAAUGUCAGCGCCGACGAACCGGUCGUUGAUGGAGAAACAGAUGACCAGAGGCAACUCCGCGAACAACGCAACGCCGAUCGCGCCCGACGACGCGCAGACGAGCAACAACAAAUGGCACCAAAUAAUCUCAACGAUGCAUUUGACAUGGUCGGGGACCAGCCAGUAUACAAAACGCCAAGCGCCAACGUGGCUGUCGCCAUGGCUAACCUAGAUCGGCUUCCUGAUACCCCCGAGUGCCAGGGAGUCCGGACCAGCAUCCGAGCACACCUGAUCGCUGCAAUGGGACAGACAGCCACUCUGCUCAAGAGAGUCCAGGACGUCUCUUAUACGGAAGCCGCCUCCGACCAGACUAAUCGUAGCCGGGCCUCACCGUCUCCCAGCAGGCGUCACCGCAGCCGCUCCCCCGACAACCGUCGAGGGGACUCACGGCGCGACGAUGGUGGUCGGGACGCCGACGGUCGCCGCAAGCAGAACCGCGUACGCGGCCAAGAAGUAAACCAGCACAGGGAUCUCCGCCACAACAUCCCUCCCAAAGAUGCCCGGGACCGCAUCAACAGGCGCGCCGCAGAGAGAGCAGUCCACGAAAACCUACGCCGCAUCGAGUACGAUGCAACGCACGGUCCUCCGGGCCUAAGACAGUUCUCCUCACACCUCCGCCAGGUCGUGUGGCCCCACAAUUUCAAGCUCGAAAAACUUAAAAAAUACAACGGCAAGGAAAAUCCAGAGAACUGGAUCACCCUCUAUGAAAUCGCCGUCCGAUCAGCGGCAGGGGAUGAGCACGUCAUGGCUAACUACUUCCCCGUAGUCCUCGACCAGGCUGGUCAUCAGUGGCUGCUCGGCUUGCCCGAGGACUCCUUCGACUCUUGGGAAGAGCUACGCCAGGCUUUCAUCGACAACUUCAUCGCCACAUGCGAGCAGCCUGGAAACAAGUAUGACCUUGAAAGGAUAAGGGACAGGAAGAACGAACCUCUGCGCGAUUACAUCCGACGAUUCUCGGAUAUGCGCCUCAAAAUCCCGAAGAUUUCCUACGACGAGGCCAUCUCAGCCUUCAUCAAGGGCCUGCGUUUCCACGAAGCGCUGAGGAACAAGCUAUUGCGUAAGCGUCCAACAAUGGUAGCAGAGCUCCUCGCCACGACCAAAAAUUACGCCGAUGCCGAUGACGCAGAAAAACUAAUCCGAGACGAUGCGAGAGGUCCCGACCAGCCUCCCCGGCGAGAUGACAGUCGUGGUCGCUACGACAGCAGAAACCACCGCCGCUCCGACAACCGCGAUCACCGAGAGGGUUGGGAUCGGCGGCGCGACAACCGCGACGAUUUCAGAGGAAAGCGCCCUCGCGACUACGACCACGAAGUAAACACGGUCAAGCGUCCCAAUGGACGACGGGACUACCAAGAAGACUACAACAAAACGUUGAAGGGACCAUGCCAACUGCACCCAAAGUCUAAUCAUACCAUGGAAGAGUGCCGCGUCCUCCAAAGCAUCUAUACACGGCAGGCCGCCCAAGACGACUCCGCCAAGAAAAACAACUGUGGGGGUAUAAACCCCUAUACCCUUACGGCUAGACUUCAGCCAGGAAGCUUGGCCCACUACGAGACAAGUUCAAGGCUUGAUCUGACAGCUCGGAGUUUCGCGCAAGGAAACAAGACGUGGAGAUCAAGCAGGAUUCUAGUCGGUUAGAAUAGGAAUUGAUAUCGAAUUAUCUAUGGCAAUUGUAACCGACUAGGAUAAGUUUCCAGAUCUGUAACCCUGCCCUCCAGACUAUAUAAGGAGGGGCAAGGGACCCCCCUAGGACAUCAUAUUCUCUCAGCACAAAUCAAUACAACCAGACGCAGGACGUAGGUAUUACGCCAACUCGGCGGCCGAACCUGGAUAAAAAGCUUGUCCGUGUCUUGCGUCACCAUCGAGUUCGUAGUUUGCGCACCGUCUACCGAUAAACUACUACCGUGGGUAUACCCCAAGGUAGACUGCCGACUAGCUUUCGUCGACAGUGGCGCGCCAGGUAGGGGGUGUGCGUGCAACUUUUCCGGCGAACAAGAUGGUCACGAUCCCAGCUUCCGCGACCGUGCCCGAAGGCCUCACGUUCACCGUCGGCCAGAUCACGUGGACGACGUGCAGCGGCGGCUUCGCGACCACGGUUCCGAAAGAGAUCCAGAUCCAAUCUGAGAUCACGCCGUCUCCGACCACACGCAUGACGGCACCAAGCUCGCGACCACCGUUCCCACUCUACAAGGGAAAGGAGAUCGACUGCUCGGACCUCCUCCAAGCGCUCGAUCGCGCUGACUCCAAGCUACUCGAAGUCUCCCAACUAAUAGAUGGAGUUCUGCGCCGGCCCGACCAAGCUGCUCGAGCGGAUUUUUCGAAAUCCCGCCGGCCAACUCGUGUCGCCACACACGAACGGCUGGGAACGUCCCUGACGAUAACCUCAACCCCCUCAGGACGAUCCGUCGAGCUCAAAAAGGAAGACUAUCCUUGCGGCCUAAACAACUCGGCCUCUGUUUACUCACAGCAUGUCCAAUCCGUUUUCAGCAAGGCGGGCUGGUCGCCGACAAGGAACAAUCGUCACCAUGUCAAAAUGGUGACAAUCCGAGAGCUACGGGACGGCCAGGUUUCCAGCACCAACUCAAGCACCGGCUCCGUCCCCACCGAGGUUAUAAACACCGAAGACGAGGGCUACGACCUGGAUUUUCCUUCACACCCUCCGGGUUUCGACCGAUUCCCGAUAUUCCCCCUCGGCGAGGGGAUAUUGUGUUCAAUGUCAGCGCCGACGAACCGGCUGUUGACGGAGAAACAGAUGACCAGAGGCAACUCCGCGAACAGCGUAACGCCGAUCGCGCCCGACGGCGUGCGGACGAGCAACAACAGAUGCCACCAAGUAACCUCAACGAUGCCUUUGACAUGGUCGGGGACCAGCCGGUCUACAAAACGCCAAGCGCCAACGUGGCUGUCGCCAUGGCCAAUCUGGAUCGGCUUCCUGACACCCCCGAAUGCCAGGGAGUCCGGACCAGCAUCCGAGCACACCUGAUCGCCGCAAUGGGACAGACAGCCACUCUGCUCAAGAGAGUCCAGGACGUCUCUUAUACGGAAGCCGCCUCCGACCAGACUAAUCGUAGCCGGGCCUCACCCAGCAGGCGUCACCGUAGCCGCUCCCCCGACAACCGUCGAGGGGACUCACGGCGCGACGAAGGUGGUCGGGACGCCGAUGGCCGCCGCCAGCAGAACCGCGUACGCGGCCAAGAAGAAGAAGAUCAACACAGGGAUCUCCGCCACAACAUCCCUCCCAAAGAUGCCCGGGACCGCAUCAACAGGCGCGCCGCAGAGAGAGCAGUCCACGAAAACCUACGCCGCAUCGAGUACGAUGCGACCCACGGUCCUCCGGGCCUAAGGCAGUUCUCCUCACACCUCCGCCAGGUCGUGUGGCCCCGCAAUUUCAAGCUCGAAAAACUUAAAAAAUACGACGGCAAGGAAAAUCCAGAGAACUGGAUCACUCUCUAUGAAAUCGCCGUCCGAUCAGCGGCAGGAGAUGAGCACGUCAUGGCUAACUACUUCCCCGUAGUCCUCGACCAGGCUGGUCAUCAGUGGCUUCUCGGCUUGCCCGAGGACUCCUUCGACUCUUGGGAAGAGCUACGACAGGCUUUCAUCGACAACUUCAUCGCCACAUGCGAGCAGCCCGGAAACAAGUAUGACCUUGAAAGGAUAAGAGACAGGAAGAAUGAACCUCUGCGCGAUUACAUCCGACGAUUCUCGGAUAUGCGCCUCAAAAUCCCGAAGAUUUCUCAUGACGAGGCCAUAUCAGCCUUUAUCAAGGGCUUGCGUUUCCAUGAAUCGCUGAGGAACAAGCUGUUGCGUAAGCGCCCAUCAACGGUAGCAGAGCUCCUCGCCACGGCUAAAAAUUACGCCGAUGCUGAUGACGCAGAAAAACUAAUCCGAGACGACGCGAGAGGCCCCGACCAGCCUUCUCGGCGAGAUGACGGUCGUGGUCGCUACGACAACAGAAAUCACCGCCGCUCCGACAACCGCGAUCACCGAGAGGGUUGGGAUCGGCGGCGCGACAGCCGCGACGACUUCAGAGGAAAGCGCCCUCGUGAAUACGACCACGAAGUAAAUACGGUCAAACGUCCCAACGGACGACGGGACUACCAAGACGACUACAACAAAACGUUGAAGGGACCGUGCCAGCUACACCCAAAGUCUAACCAUACCAUGGAAGAGUGCCGCGUCCUCAAAAGUAUCUAUACACGGCGGGCCGCCCAAGAGGACUCCGCCAAGAAAAAUAACAAACACGACGGGCACGACCACGAAGAUGAGGAUGAGGACCAAGACAGGGACCCCCGACACCAAUACGUCAGCCCCACCGACGUGGUCCACUCCAUUUUCGGGGGCAAGGUCUCCACUGAGUCCAAGCGAGAAAGAAAGCUGUUAAAGAGAGCCUGCCUCAACAUAGACAGCACGGACGGGCUGAUCGCAGAUCCGAAAUUUCCCGCGUGGUCCCACAGGGAGAUCUCGUUCAGCAGGAAGGACCAGUGGGCCGCUAUCCCAGAGCCGGGUCGUUUCCCACUGAUUCUUGAUCCCUGCAUCAAUAGCAUCAGAUUCGAGCGCGUGCUCGCGGACGGGGGAAGCUCCAUCGACAUCCUCUUCCGCAACAGCCUGCCCGCCCUCAAGAUAUCACCGGCACAACUAAAACCUUACGACGCCCAAUUCUGGGGGGUUUUGCCAGGUCAAAGUUCGGUGCCCCUCGGACAGAUAACAUUGCCUGUCCAAUUCGGCACACCCGAUCACUUCCGGACGGAGUUCAUCAACUUCGUAGUCGCGGAUUUCGACGGGACCUACCACGCCAUACUGGGCCGCCCAUCGCUGACAAAGUUCAUGGCAGUCCCGCACUACUCAUACCUAGUCCUUAAGAUGCCCACGGAGAAGGGUGUCCUAACCAUCAGAGGCAACGUCUACACUGCGUACACCUGCGAAGAAGAAAGCUUCAAGAUCACCGAGGCAAUUGACCUCUCAAUCCGCAUGGCGGAAACAGCAAACCAAGCCGCACAGCUGCCUCCCGACCAGCUCCGAUUACCUGAGCAGGAGACAGCCAGAAAGAAUUCGAAAUCCAAGGAGUACAAAGAAGUGCAGCUGGUCGAAGGCAACCCCGAGAAGACAGCCCUCAUCGGGGCUAACCUGGAUCCAAAAUAGGAAGACGCGCUCGUCAGGUUUCUAAGGGACAACGUGAGCGUUUUCGCAUGGAAACCCGCAGACAUGCCCGGUGUCCCACGAAACCUGAUCGAGCACUCCUUAAAUGUCUCGAAGACCGCAAGACCAAUCAAGCAAAAACUGCGACGGUUCGCUCGUGACAAAAAGGAGGCUAUUAGGACAGAAAUAACACGGCUUCUAGCAGCCGGAUUCAUAAAAGAAGUGUAUCAUCCCGAUUGGCUCGCCAAUCCGGUUCUUGUACGCAAAAAGAAUAAUGAAUGGAGAAUGUGCGUUGAUUACACCGAUCUCAACAAACACUGUCCUAAAGAUCCUUUUGGUCUUCCUCGCAUCGACGAGGUGGUCGACUCAACGGCCGGAUGCGAACUCCUCUCCUUUCUAGAUUGCUACUCUGGUUAUCACCAGAUCUCGUUAAAGGAAGAAGAUCAGAUCAAAACAUCCUUCAUCACACCCUUCGGCGCAUACUGUUACACUACCAUGUCUUUCGGACUUAAAAACGCCGGGGCCACUUAUCAAAGGGCCAUCCAGCAAUGCCUCCACGACGAGAUUCGCGAUGACCUCGUCGAGGCCUAUGUGGACGACGUGGUCGUAAAAACAAGGGACGCGAGCACCCUAAUCGACAACUUAGACCGAACCUUCAAGGCACUCAAUAGGUACAAGUGGAAGCUCAACCCCAAGAAAUGCAUUUUCGGCGUUCCUUCCGGUCUACUGCUCGGCAACGUCGUCAGUCGCGACGGCAUAUGACCAAACCCUUCAAAAGUCAAAGCCGUACUCGACAUGCGACCACCGAAGAACGUCAAGGAUAUUCAGAAGCUAACCGGAUGCAUGGCCGCCCUCAGUCGUUUCAUCUCAAGGCUGGGAGAAAAAGGCCUCCCUUUCUUCAAACUACUGAAAGCGUCAGAAAAAUUCUCUUGGACAGAGGAAGCCGACGCUGCGUUCACUCAGCUUAAGACCUUCCUCACUUCACCGCCUGUCCUCACAGCGCCUCAGCCCAAUGAAGACCUACUCCUUUACAUUGCUGCAACCGACAGGGUUGUUUCCACGGCAAUAGUGGUCGAGCGAGAUGAACCAGGUCACGUCUUCAAGGUCCAGAGACCCGUUUACUUCAUAAGCGAAGUUUUAAACGAAUCCAAGGCCAGGUACCCACAAAUACAGAAGCUUAUAUACGCCAUCCUGAUAACGUCAAGAAAGCUGAAGCACUACUUCGACGGCCAUCGAGUCCUGGUGACAACCAGCUUUCCUCUCGGGGACAUCCUGCGCAAUAAAGACGUCAAUGGCAGAAUCGUGAAAUGGGCAAUGGAAUUAUGUCCAUUUUCCCUAGAGUUCCAGAGUCGCACCACUGUCAAGUCUCAAGCCCUGGUCGAUUUCAUUGCCGAAUGGACGGAUCUCAACGAGCCUUCCGUUCCAGAUGUCUCAGACCACUGGUCAAUGUUCUUUGAUGGGUCCUUGAACAUCAACGGUGCAGGCGCUGGGAUAUUGUUCGUAUCACCCAACAAGGACAAACUCCGUUACGUCCUUCGGAUCCUUUUUCCGGCGUCAAACAAUGUCGCCGAAUACGAAGCAUGCUUACAUGGCAUACGACUAGCCGUUGAACUGGGGGUCAAGCGCCUCUAUGUCUACGGCGACUCCGCUUUGGUCAUCAACCAGCUCAACAAGGAGUGGGACGCAACCCACGAGAAGAUGGAUCUCUACUGCAAAGAAAUUCGCAAAUGGGAAACUAACUUCUAUGGCAUAGAGUACAUCCACGUGGUCCGGGAUAAGAACCAAGCAGCAGAUGCGUUGUCAAAGUUAGGCUCAUCUCGGGCCCAAAUCCCGCGGGGUAUUUUCGUCCAGGACAUCCAUGAGCCGAGCGUAAGCUCCCCCUGGUCGACAAGCAACCCACCGAGGCAAUGCUCAUAGAUGACGCCACUCCGACAACCGGUGGGCGUGACUGGCGUACCCCGUUCAUCAAAUACAUAUCAGACGGGACAGGCUUUCAGGACAAAACGGAGAACGAGCGCCUCAUCCGACGAUCAAAGAACUACAUCCUGGUCGACGGAAAACUCAUGCGGAAAAACGCAAGCUCCGAAGUACUGCUCAAGUGCAUACCCCAAGAUGAUGGUAUCAAGCUCUUGGAGGACAUACACGCCGGAUCCUGCGGCAACCACGCCGCAUCUAGAACGCUGGUCGGAAAGGCUUUCCGAGCAGGUUUUUAUUGGCCAACCGCGGUCGGCGACGCAGAAAAACUGGUUCGGCAUUGCGAAGGAUGUCAGUUUUUCGCUAAGAGGACCCACGUACCUGCCCAUGAAAUUCAAACCAUCCCGUCAUCUUGGCCCUUUGCUUGCUGGGGGCUCGACAUGAUCGGACCAUUUAAACCAGCCCCGGGCAAUUUCAAGUUUGUCUUCGUGUUAAUCGACAAGUUCUCCAAGUGGAUUGAAUACAUGCCCCUGGUCAAGGCAACCUCCGAGAAGGCUGUGGAGUUCCUCAAUCAAAUCAUACACAGAUUCGGCAUCCCGAACAGCAUAAUCACCGACCUGGGCACUCAGUUUACUGGCACCACUUUUUGGGAUUUCUGCGAUGACAGAGGCAUAGUCAUAAAAUAUGUGUCAGUGGCACAUCCACGUGCCAACGGUCAAGUUGAACGUGCUAACGGAAUGAUCGUUGACGCCCUAAAGAAAAGGUUGUACACCGAAAACGACAGAGCACCCGGUCGAUGGAUGAAAGAAUUGCCGGCAGUGGUCUGGGGCCUCCGAACUCAGACCAGUCGAAACACAGGGGUGUCUCCCUACUUCAUGGUGUACGGUGUAGAGGCGGUCUUGCCGUCUGACAUACACUUCGGAUCUCCUAGAAUCGAGCACUUCGACCAGGCGACCGCCGACAACGCCAGAGAACUCGAAAUCAAUUGCAUGGAGGAAAAGCGUUUAGUUUCGUGUCUCCGAACAGCAAAAUAUCUCGCAGCAGUCAGACGAUACUACAACAGGAAUGUCAAGGACCGUUCUUUCGUGGUCGGCGAUCUGGUGCUUCGAUGGAAAACAAGCCAGGAGGGAAUGCACAAGCUAUCCACUCCCUGGGAAGGACCCUUCGUGGUGACCGAGGUCACACGACCUACGUCCUACAGAUUGGCAUACCCAGACGGAACACGAGUGCCUAACUCUUGGCACAUCGACAAACUGCGACGUUUCUAUCCAUAAAGUUUUAAUGACUUUCUUUUGUAAGUAUCUUAUAAUUUUUGAUAAUGAAAUUCUCUAUUUUUGGCCCAUACCUUGUCACACACAGCAAUCGGCAAAACUCCUGCAACGGAUGCUCUUAGCGACAACCAAGACAAAUACGGUGACACGUCACUCAGAUAUUCUUACAGCGCUCAACACAACAGUCAUGACAAAAAGCAAACUUUAUUACAAACUUUACAUACAAAGUUUACAAUAAAUACCCUGACGGGCAGACACUAGUCUAUUCCUACGGACUACUUUAUUGGCCUAGCUGCUCGGGCUGAUCACCCGCCUGGCCCUGCCGCCCGGACGAAGGGGUCGGGGCCACCGGCGCCUGGCUGGUCGAGACCGCAGGCGUCGACCGCCCAUCUCCCGCAACGGACGCGCCCGACAACUCCCUGGCCGACCUAUCUGAACUCGGCUGGUCUGGAGGAGUGGCCGUUCCGCACAGAUUGAUGUCGCCGAUCACUGUCGACGACAAGUCCAGCAGACUACCCCGAAGUUCGUCCGCUUCCUGUGGGCCGACUUCCUUCGGGUACCCCUUCUCCAGCCUGCUCAAGUCGACCAGGGGGUAGUGGGCGCGCACCAUGCUGAGGACGUGCGCGCCGGCAAACUCCCCGGCGUCCUUCACAAACUGCUGGAGCCAGUCCCACGCCCGUUGCGCCUUCUCGACCGGGGUCAACUGCGGCGCGCGGGGCUGGCUCUCCGGGAGCUCGGGACUGAUCAGGUCUAGGACCGGGGACACUCCUUUCCAGAUCCUGCAACAGUUGACCUUCCAGGAGUCCCGGUCCUUGAUCAGAUCAUCCAGGUGCUUUUUGGUGUUCACCUUGAGCACUGCAAACGAAACAAAGCGUUACUUUCGGCAUACCAGACAAAGAAAGGGGCAGGCAGCAACCAACAAGGCGGCACCCAUUACCAGAUAGCUCCCGGUCUUUUCGACCCAAUUCCUCUUCUGCUCGCCGCCCGGACUCCAGCGCACCGGCGAGCUGUUGGCUGAGCUGCUCCUUCUCUUGUCGGAGGCUCGCCACCUCCUCCUCCAAGUCUGCGUGAAUCCUAAACUGGUCAGCAAAGCAAACUAUACAAGUACGCGAAGCUGCUCGGAGCGUGUGACUAACCUUCUUGCAGCCGGUACUGGUCGGCCAAACGACGAGCGAGGUCGAGACGACGCUCCUUUUCGGCACUCAUCUCGACCACCUUCUCCCCGACCUCCGCCCGCAACCGGUCUACCUCCGCGGCAAGGGCCUUGUUCUCGGCCAUGACGCCUUCUAUCUGGUCAAAGCACCGUUUCCGGUACUUCGCCGUUUUCAUUACGUCCUACAAAGCAAGCAUAUAACGACCAUGCAAGACAAGGCAAAAGAAUGCGCAGCAGUACAAAAAGCCGCUUACCUUGACUUCGUCGAUGAGGCGCUUGGCCGCGCGCUCCACCCUGGCGGCCUCUUCGGUCUCGGCGAGCUCCUCAUGCCCGAUAAAGUGAUCCCCGCGUUGGCGCCACACAUACACGUGUUGGCGGCCAUCACGGGGACGACCCUCGAUCUCUUCCACCUCGUCAUCGGAGGCCGCCCGGGUUUCCUCCUCCUGUGCUGCGUCACCCCCGGUGGUGGUCCCAGGUAUUACUGGCCCUUGGUCCAGACCUGGGGAGCCCGCAGCCGAAGAGGCUCCUGCUCGGGGCGGCGGGGGGACUUCACUCCCCCCGGCAGGAGGAGCGGUCGGAGAUCUUCCCUUCUCUGAGGAGUCAGUUGGGGGAGCCUCUCCAGCCCUGGUCGGGCUGCUUGUUGUAGUCGGCGCCGCGCUCGGGAGCCCCUCGGUGCUCCCAGGCGCGACUGCAGCUGUUGGCUGCUCUGUGGUCUGGGGGGCCGCAUCCCCAGAACCGUGGGCAGGCUCGCCCGUUCCCUGGCUGGCAGUUUGGCCAGGGUCGACAUCCGAUGCCGCACUACAGGAACAAAAGUUAAAAAAAAAAGAGGAGUCCAAAAUACGUAAGUCGAACACUUACAGGUCUGACCGACGGUGGGUCGCGGUGAACCUCCUCCUCGCUCGGCCGGUCGGCACCUGUGCCCCCAUCUCGACAACUUGCGGGGCAGCGGCGCCGCUGGCCACUCGAUCAGUGGCGACCGGCGCAGUGUCUGGGCGGCUCCGAGGCCGUCGGACCAACGACGGCGCAGCCUCCUCGUCAUCGUCGUCGUCGACGAUCCGCACGAGCCGACGACGCUUCGGUGCUUGGCUGCUCUCCGCCGGUAGAUCUGCCGGCAGCUCCGGUGUCGGCAAGGGAUCUGCCGGCAAUGGCCUUUUCCUCGCUACCCUCUCCUCGGAGGUCGGGACGGGGCGGGCUUGGUCUUCCUCACUGCUGGUGUAAUGAGUACACCGAGCAGCGUCCUCCUCUGGCGGGACCUCUCCCGCAGGAUUUUCCAUCCCCGGUGCCAGUGAUACAUACACUGUGCACCGGUCGACAUCGCCGACCUGCAAAAGCAACAGAGAUGAGUCAACUGCAGACGAUAUAUGAAUGAUCAAACAGAAUCUGCUACAUACCUUUGGUGCUGGUCGUCCUAACUUGAAGGCUUGCACCCGAUCACUGCCACGGAUGAAGCCCCCAUCCGCGAAGUUAAACAGCUCGUUCAACAGCUGUUGUACCUCCGCUUUCUCCAAGAUCUCCGACCGCAUCCUGGUCGGGUCUGCGCUUCCGGCAUACUCGUACGCCGAGUGCACCUUCUUCUGGCAGGGCAUCACCCGGCGGCAAAUGAAGUUGCCGACCACGCCAAGCCCGUCUAGGCGCGACCAGUCGAUCAGCUUCAUGAGAUCCGCCACUGGACCGUCGAACUCCGGGCGGUCGGUCCAGCUCGUCCUCUUCUCAGGAAUGUAUCCCACGUCGCAGAACGUGGAGCUGCCCGGUUCCUCCCUGAUGUAGAACCACUUCCUGUACCAUUCGGUCAAGGAAGUGUUCCAUGGGCAGUGCAGGUAGCGAUUCUUCAUCCCAUCACGAAGGUUGAGGUAUACUCCACCUGCAACCUUGGAGCCUCCCACUGCUCCCUUCUUCCUCAAGCAGAAAAGAUACCGGAAAAGAUCGAAGUGCGGCUCUAUGCCAACAUAGGCCUCGCACAGGUGGAUGAAGGUGGAAAUAAGGAGAAUUGAGUUCGGGUGCAGAUUGCAAAUCCCGAUCUCAUAGUACAAAAGAAGACCUUGAAGAAAAGGAUGAACAGGAACACCAAAGCCUCUCUUAACGAAAUCUUCAAAAACGACGAUCUCACCGGCGCGAGGGUCGAGGUAGCUCUCCCCCUCCGGUGCCCUCCAGCCGCCGAGCUCUGCGCCGUGCAGAAGCCCCAUAUCGACGAGGUCACCAAGAGAUUUUGUGGUGCUGCGAGACUUCUUCCACUCCUUGGCCAUCAGUUCGGCCCUCUUCCUGGAGUCGCUCUUCGCCAUUGGAGGUGCGAAUGUGGGCUUGAGUUAGGAAGAUGCAGGAGAUUGGAGAAGAUGAGAGCGGAAGGUUUGAAGGCAAUGGCAGGCGAAGCGGUACAGGCGGACCUAUUAGGCCCUUAUAAACCCGCGACUCCACCUCUCCCACUUCCUGUAUUCUCGGGAAGUGGGCAGGCCAUGCGGCGGACGCGGCGUUUCGGUUUACAAUGAUUAUAGACAAUUAAUGCGGCGGAGUUUUCGUACCAAUUGAUGGUUUCCUUUUCUCAAACCAUGCAAAGAGCGGUUGUACAGUUGCCAGGUGCAACUUUUCAUGCAUCCGUCUGACAUAUCGUCAGGAGACCUCGUCACGUCAACUUUAACUGGAAAGAUCUUUUCAAAAGUAAGAAGACACAUACGCCAGUGAGUCAACAAUCCGGGGACUGCACCGACCACCGAGCACUCGACGCUCGGGGACUGGUCGCCCAGUCUAUCAGCUCGGAACUUCAAGGACUGCACCGACCACCGAGCACUCGACGCUCGGGGACUGGUCGCCCAGUCUAUCAACUCAGAACUUCAAGGACCGCACCGACCACCGAGCACUCGACGCUCGGGGACUGGUCGCCCAGUCUAUCAGCUCGGAACUUCAAGGACCGCACCGACCACCGAGCACUCGACGCUCGGGGACUGGUCGCUUAGUUUAUCAGCUCAAAGCUUUAAAGCAUGCUCCGACCACUGAGCACUCGACGCUCGGGGACUGGUCGUACAGUAUAGCAACAUAUAAUUCUAAGAAGCACACUAAGUGCUUGGGGACUGGUCGAUUGGUCUUUUUAAUUGCAGACGAGCAUGACAUGCUCGGGGACUGGUAAAUUCACUUUAGACCUUGCUACAAGACUCAUAAUUCGCCUUCCAGCAAGCUCGGGGACUACAUCGGUACGAUGCAUCUAGCGAUGCAUCUCAGUCUCAAAACUACUUUGGGGAAUUUUCUUUUGACCCUGGCACCACGUGCCUACGUCACCUACUACCAGGCUCGGGGACUAAGUGGGCACACUUCACCUAGCGGUGAAUUUGCUUGCUUUUUUGAUGCUUUUACCUUUCAAAAAGGUAAAGUGGGCACACUUCACCAGGAAAGAAAUUUUUUUUAAGAGCACCAUGAAUUCUUCGAACAACCUGCUUCUUCGAUGUCAAUGUUGAUCAACUGUCUUUUGAGUUGGUCAAGGAACCGUUGCAACUGUUUGGGCGAUCUUCCCACUUAUUGAAGACGCCAAGCCUCGCUGAUCGAAGAAGCUCAAGACGGCGUGUUGCAUCACAAUACAUGGUGCUCGGGGACUAGCUGUGGGGGUAUAAACCCCUAUACCCUUACGGCUAGACUUCAGCCAGGAAGCUUGGCCCACUACGAGACGAGUUCAAGGCUUGAUCCGACAGCUCGGAGUUUCGCGCAAGGAAACAAGACGUGGAGAUCAAGCAGGAUUCUAGUCGGUUAGAAUAGGAAUUGAUAUCGAAUUAUCUAUGGCAAUUGUAACCGACUAGGAUUAGUUUCCAGAUCUGUAACCCUGCCCUCCAGACUAUAUAAGGAGGGGCAAGGGACCCCCCUAGGACAUCAUAUUCUCUCAGCACAAAUCAAUACAACCAGACGCAGGACGUAGGUAUUACGCCAACUCGGCGGCCGAACCUGGAUAAAAAGCUUGUCCGUGUCUUGCGUCACCAUCGAGUUCGUAGUUUGCGCACCGUCUACCGAUAAACUACUACCGUGGGUAUACCCCAAGGUAGACUGCCGACUAGCUUUCGUCGACAACAACAAACGAGACGGGCACGACCACGAAGAUGAGGACGAGGACCAGGAUAGGGACCCCCGACACCAGUACGUCAGCCCCACCGACGUGGUCCACUCCAUUUUCGGGGGCAAGGUCUCCAUUGAAUCUAAGCGAGAAAGAAAGCUGUUAAAGAGAGCUUGCCUCAACAUAGACAGCACGGACGGGCUGAUCGCAGACCCAAAAUUCCCCCCGUGGUCCCACAGGGAGAUCUCGUUCAGCAGGAAGGACCAGUGGGCCGCUAUCCCAGAGCCGGGUCGUUUCCCCCUGAUUCUGGACCUUUGCAUCAACAGCAUCAGAUUCGAGCGCGUGCUCGUGGACGGGGGAAGCUCCAUUGACAUCCUCUUUCGCAACAGCCUGCCCGCCCUCAAGAUAUCUCCUGCACAACUAAAACCUUACGACGCCCAAUUCUGGGGGGUUUUGCCGGGUCAAAGUUCAGUGCCUCUCGGACAGAUAACAUUGCCUGUCCAAUUCGGCACACCCGACCACUUCCGGACGGAGUUCAUCAACUUCGUGGUCGCCGAUUUCGACGGGACCUAUCACGCUAUACUGGGCCGACCAUCGCUGACAAAGUUCAUGGCAGUCCCGCACUACUCAUACCUGGUCCUUAAGAUGCCAACGGAGAAGGGCGUCCUAACCGCCAGAGGCAAUGUUUACACUGCAUAUACCUGCGAAGAGGAGAGCUUCAAGGUCACCGAAGCACUCGACCUCUCAAUCCGCAUGGCAGAAACAGCAACUCAAGCCGCGCAGCUGCUUCCCGACCAGCUCCGAUUACCUGAGCAGGAGACAGCCAGAAAGAACUCAAAAUCCAAGGAGCACAAAGAAGUACAACUGGUCGAUGGCAGCCCCGAGAAGACGGCCCUCAUCGGGGCCAACCUGGAUCCAAAAUAGGAAGACGCGCUCGUCAGGUUUCUAAGGGACAACGUAAGCGUUUUCGCAUGGAAACCCGCAGACAUGCCCGGCGUCCCACGAAACCUGAUCGAGCACUCCUUAAAUGUCUCGAAGACCGCAAGACCAGUCAAGCAAAAGCUGCGACGGUUCGCUCGUGACAAAAAGGAGGCUAUUAGGACAGAAAUCACACGGCUUCUAGCAGUCGGAUUCAUAAAAGAAGUGUAUCACCCCGAUUGGCUCGCCAAUCCGGUUCUUGUACGAAAAAAGAAUAAUGAAUGGAGAAUGUGCGUUGAUUACACUGAUCUCAAUAAACACUGUCCUAAAGAUCCUUUUGGUCUCCCUCGCAUCGACGAGGUGGUCGACUCAACGGCCGGAUGCGAACUCCUCUCCUUUCUAGACUGCUACUCUGGUUAUCACCAGAUUUUGCUAAAGGAAGAAGAUCAGAUCAAAACGUCUUUUAUUACACCUUUCGGCGCAUACUGCUACACGACCAUGUCUUUCGGACUCAAAAACGCCGGAGCCACUUAUCAAAGGGCCAUCUAGCAAUGCCUCCACGAUGAGAUUCGUGAUGACCUCGUCGAGGCCUAUGUGGACGACGUGGUCGUAAAAACAAGGGACGCGAGCACCCUAAUCGACAACUUAGACCGAACUUUCAAGGCACUCAAUAGGUACAAGUGGAAGCUCAACCCCAAGAAAUGCAUUUUCGGCGUUCCUUCCGGUCUACUGCUCGGCAACGUUGUCAGUCGCGACGGCAUACGACCAAACCCUUCAAAAGUAAAGGCGGUACUCGACAUGCGGCCACCGAAGAACGUAAAGGAUAUCCAAAAGCUAACCGGAUGUAUGGCCGCCCUCAGUCGCUUCAUCUCAAGGCUAGGAGAAAAAGGCCUCCCUUUCUUCAAACUAUUAAAAGCGUCGGAAAAAUUUUCUUGGACAGAAGAAGCCGACACCGCAUUCAACCAGCUUAAGACCUUCCUCACUUCACCACCUGUCCUUACAGCGCCUCAGCCCAAUGAAGACCUACUCCUUUACAUUGCUGCAACCGACAGGGUUGUUUCCACGGCAAUAGUGGUCGAGCGAGGUGAACCAGGUCACGCCUACAAGGUCCAGAGACCAGUUUACUUCAUAAGUGAAGUCUUAAACGAGUCCAAGGCCAGGUAUCCACAAAUACAGAAGCUCAUAUACGCCAUUCUAAUAAUGUCAAGAAAGCUGAAGCACUACUUCGACGGCCAUCGAGUCCUGGUGACAACCAGUUUCCCCCUCGGGGACAUCCUGCGCAAUAAAGACGCCAAUGGCAGAAUCGUGAAAUGGGCAAUGGAAUUAUGUCCAUUUUCCCUGGAGUUCCAGAGUCGUACCACUGUCAAGUCCCAGGCCCUGGUCGAUUUCAUUGCUGAAUGGACGGAUCUCAACGAGCCUUCCGUUCCCGAUGUCUCAGACCACUGGUCAAUGUUCUUUGACGGGUCCUUGAACAUCAACGGUGCCGGCGCUGGGAUACUGUUCGUAUCACCCAACAAGGACAAACUGCGUUACGUCCUUCGGAUCCUUUUUCCGGCGUCAAACAACGUCGCCGAAUACGAAGCAUGCUUGCAUGGCAUAAGACUAGCCGUUGAGCUGGGAGUCAAGCGCCUCUAUGUUUAUGGCGACUCCGCUUUGGUCAUCAACCAGCUCAACAAGGAGUGGGACGCAACCCACGAGAAGAUGGAUCUCUACUGCAAAGAAAUUCGCAAAUGGGAAACCAACUUCUACGGCAUAGAGUACAUCCACGUGGUCCGGGAUAAGAACCAAGCAGCAGAUGCGUUGUCAAAGUUAGGCUCAUCUCGGGCCCAGAUCCCGCGGGGUAUUUUCGUCCAGGACAUCCACGAGCCGAGCGUAGGCUCCUCCCUGGUCGACAAGCAGCCCACCGAGGCAAUGCUCAUAGACGACGCCACUCCGACAACCGGUGGGCGUGACUGGCGUACCCCGUUCAUCAAAUACAUAUCGGACGGGACAGACCUUCAGGACAAAACAGAGAACGAGCGCCUCAUUCGACGAUCAAAGAACUACAUCCUGGUCGACGGCAAACUCAUGCGGAAAAACGCAAGCUCCGAAGUACUACUCAAGUGCAUACCCCAAGAUGAUGGUAUCAAGCUCUUAGAGGACAUACAUGCUGGAUCCUGCGGCAAUCACGCCGCAUCCAGAACGCUGGUCGGAAAGGCUUUCCGAGCAGGUUUUUAUUGGCCAACCGCGGUCGGCGACGCAGAAAAACUGGUCCGACAUUGCGAAGGAUGUCAGUUUUUCGCUAAGAGGACCCACGUACCUGCCCACGAAAUUCAAACCAUCCCGUCGUCUUGGCCCUUUGCUUGCUGGGGGCUCGACAUGAUCGGGCCAUUUAAACCAGCCCCAGGCAAUUUCAAGUUCGUUUUCGUGUUAAUCGACAAGUUCUCCAAUCGUUAAUCGACAAGUUCUCCAAGUGGAUUGAAUACAUGCCUCUGGUCAAGGCAACCUCCGAGAAGGCUGUGGAGUUCCUCAAUCAAAUCAUACACAGAUUCGGCAUCCCGAACAGCAUAAUCACCGACCUGGGCACUCAGUUUACUGGCACCACUUUUUGGGACUUCUGCGAUGACAGAGGCAUAGUCAUAAAAUACGUGUCAGUGGCACACCCACGUGCCAACGGUCAAGUUGAACGUGCUAACGGAAUGAUCGUUGACACCCUAAAGAAAAGGUUGUACACCGAAAACGACAGAGCACCCGGUCGAUGGAUGAAAGAAUUGCCGGCAGUGGUCUGGGGCCUCCGAACUCAGACCAGUCGAAACACAGGGGUGUCUCCCUACUUCAUGGUGUACGGUUCAGAGGCGGUCCUGCCGUCUGACAUACACUUCGGAUCUCCUAGAAUCGAACACUUCGACCAGGCGACCGCCGACAACGCCAGAGAACUCGAAAUCAAUUGCAUGGAGGAAAGGCGUUUAGAUUCUUGUCUCCGAACAGCAAAAUAUCUCGCGGCAGUCAGGCGAUACUACAACAGGAACGUCAAGGACCGUUCCUUCGUGGUCGGCGAUCUAGUACUUCGAUGGAAAACAAGCCAGGAGGGAAUGCACAAGCUAUCCACUCCCUGGGAAGGACCCUUCGUGGUGACCGAGGUCACACGACCUACGUCCUACAGAUUGGCAUACCCAGACGGAACACGAGUGCCUAACUCGUGGCACACAGGCAAACUGCGACGUUUCUAUCCAUAAAGUUUUAAUAACUUUUCUUUGUAAGUAUCUUAUAAUUGUUGAUAAUGAAAUUCUCUAUUCUUUGCCUAUACCUUGUCGCACACAGCACUCGGCAAGACUCCUGCAAUGGAUGCUCUUAACGACUACCAAGACGAAUACGGUGACACGUCACUCACAUAAUCUUACAGCGCUCAAAACAACAGUCAUGACAAAAAGCAAACUUUAUUACAAACUUUACAUACAAAGUUUACAAUAAAUACCCUGACGGGCAGACACUAGUCUAUUCCUACAGACUACUCUAUUGGCCUAGCUGCUCGGGCUGAUCACCCGCCUGGCCCUGCUGCCCGGACGAAGGGGUCGGGGCCACCGGCGCCUGGCUGGUCGAGACCGCAGGCGUCGACCGCCCAUCUCCUGCAACGGACGCGCCCGACAACUCCCUGGCCGACCUAUCUGAACUCGGCUGGUCUGGGGGAGUGGCCGUUCCGCACAGAUUGAUGUCGCCGAUCACUGUCGACGACAAGUCCAGCAGACUACCCCGAAGCUCGUCCGCUUCCUGUGGGCCGACCUCCUUCGGGUACCCCUUCUCCAGCCUGCUCAAGUCGACCAAGGGGUAGUGGGCGCGCACCAUGCUGAGGACGUGCGCGCCGGCAAACUCCCCGGCGUCCUUCACAAACUGCUGGAGCCAGUCCCACGCCCGUUGCGCCUUCUCGACCGGGGUCAACUGUGGCGCGCGGGGCUGGCUCUCCGGGAGCUCGGGACUGAUCAGGUCUAGGACCGGGGAUACUCCUUUCCAGAUCCUACAACAGUUGACCUUCCAGGAGUCCCGGUCCUUGAUCAGAUCAUCCAGGUGCUUCUUGGCGUUCACCUUGAGCACUGCAAACGAAACAAAGCGUUAUUUUUGGCAUACCAAACAAGUAAAGGGGCGACAAGCAGCAGCUAACAAGGCGGCAUCCAUUACCAGAUAAUUUCCGGUCCUUUCGACCCAAUUCCUCUCCUGCUCGCCGCCCGGACUCCAGCGCACCGGCGAGCUGUUGGCUGAGCUGCUCCUUCUCUUGUCGGAGGCGCGCCACCUCCUCCUCCAAGUCUGCGUGAAUCAUAAACUGGUCAGUAAAGCAAACUACACAAGUACGCAAAGCUGCUCGGAGCGUGUGACUAACCUUCUCGCUGCCGGUACUGGUCGGCCAAGUGACGAGUGAGGUCGAGACGACGCUCCUCUUGGGCGCUCAUCUCGGCCACCUUCUCCCCGACUUCCGACCGCAGCCGGUCUACCUCCGCGGCCAGGGCCUUGUUCUCGGCCACGACGCCUUCUAUCUGGUCAAAGCACCGUUUCCGGUACUUUGCUGUUUUCAUUGCGCCCUACAAAGCGAACAUAUAACGACCAUGCAAGACAAGGUAUAGAAUGUACAGCAGUACAAAAAGUCGCUUACCUUGACUUCGUCGACGAGGCGCUUGGCUGCGCGCUCCACCCUGGCGGGCUCCUCGGUCUCGGCGAGCUCUUCAUGCCCGAUAAAGUGAUCCCCGCGUUGGCGCCACACAUACACGUGUUGGCGGCCAUCAUGGGGACGACCCUCAAUCUCCUCCACCUCGUCCUCGGAGGCCGCCUGAGCUUCCUCCUCCCGCGCUGCGUUGCUUCCGGUAGCGGUCCCAGGCAUUACUGGUCCCUGGACCAGACCUGGGGAGCCUGCAGUCGAAGCGGCCCCUGCUCGGGGCGGUGUAGAGACUUCACCCUCCCCGGCGGGAGGAGGGGUCGGGGCCCUUCCCUCUCUUUCCGUGGUGCUGGCUGGGGGAGGCGUCCCCGUAGCCUCCUCAACCCUGGUCGGGCUGCUCAACGUAGCCGGUGCCGCGGCCGGGGACUCCUUGGCGCUCUCAGGCACGGCUGCAGCCGUAGGCUGCUCCGCGGUCUGCGGGGCCGCGUCUUCAGCAGCGCAAACCGGCUCACUCGUCCCCUGGCCAGCGGCAUGGCCAGGGUUGACAUCCGACGCCGCGCUAAAGGAACAAAACUACAAUAAAAAAAAACAUCGGUGAAAUACGUAAGUCGAGCACUUACAGGUUUGAGCGGCGUGGGUCGCGGUAAACCUCCUUCUCGUCCGACCAGUCGGCACCUGUGCUCCCGACUCCCCAGCGCCAGGCGCAGGUGGAUCGACGGCCACACGGUCGGCAGUGGUCGCCCCGCCGUCCAGACGGCUAGGAGGCCUCCGGACCAACGACGGAACGGCCUCCUCCUCCUCGUCGUCGUCGUCGAUCCGGACGAACCGACGCCGCUUCGGCGCUCGGCUGCUCUCCGCCGGCAGUGUCGGCAUCGGCGACGGAUCCACAGGCAUUGGCCUUUUCCCCGACACCCUUUCCUCGGUGGUUGGGACGGGGCGGGCUUGUUCCUCUUCACUGCUGGUGUAAUGAGCACACCGAGCAGCGUCCUCCUCUAGCGGGUCUUCUCCCGCAGGAUUCUCCAUCCCCGGUGCCAGUGAUACAUACACUGUGCACCGGUCGACAUCGCCGAUCUGCAAAAAGCAACAAAGAUGAGCCAGCCACAUACGAUAUACAAAUACUGAAACAAAAUAAUCUGCAACAUACCUUUGGUGCUGGUCGGCCUAACUUGAAGGCUUGCACCCGAUCACUGCCACGGAUGAAGCCUCCGUCCGCGAAGUUGAACAGCUCGUUCAACAGCCGUUGUACCUCCGCCUUCUCCAAGAUCUCCGGUCGCAUCCUGGUCGGGUCCACGCUUCCGGCAUACUCGUACGCCGAGUGCACCCUCUUCUGGCAGGGCAUCACCCAACGACAAAUAAAGUUGCCGACCACGCCAAGCCCAUCCAGGCGCGACCAGUCGAUCAGCUUCAUCAGAUCCGCCACUUGACGGUUGAACUCCGGGCGGUCGGUCCAGCUCACCCUCUUCUCGGGAAUGUACCCCACGUUGCAGAAUGUGGAGCUGCCCGGUUCCUCCCUGACGUAGAACCACUUCCUAUACCAUUCGGUCAAGGAAGUGUUCCAUGGACAGUGCAGGUAGUGAUUCUUCAUUCCAUCACGAAGGUUGAGGUAUACUCCACCUGCAACCUUGGAGCCUCCAACUGCUCCCUUCUUCCUCAAGCAGAAAAGGUAACAGAAAAGAUCGACGUGCGGCUCUAUGCCAACAUAGGCCUCGCACAGAUGAAUAAACGUAGAGAUAAGGAGAAUUGAGUUCGGGUGCAGAUUGCAAAUCCCGAUCUCAUAAUACAAAAGAAGACCUUGGAGAAAAGGAUGAACCGGAACCCCAAAUCCCCUCUUGACGAAAUCUUCGAACACGACGAUCUCACCGGCACGAGGGUCGGGGAAGCUUUCUCCUUCCGGCACUCUCCAGCCGCCAAGCUCCGAGCUGUGCACGAGUCCCAUGUCGACGAGGUCACCGAGGGAUUUGGUGGUGCUGCGGGACUUCUUCCACUCCUUGGCCAUCAGUUCGGCCCUCUUCUUGGAGUCGCUCUUCGCCAUUGGAGGUGAGAAGUGGAUUUGGGUUACGAAGAUGCAGGUGAUUGAAAGAGGCGAGAAUGGAAGGCUUGAGGGCAAUGGCAGGGUAAGGAGUACAGGCGGAACUGUCAGGCUCUUAUAACCCGCAACUCCACCCCUCCCAUUUCCUGUAUUCUCGGGAAGUGGGCGGGCCAUGCGGCGGAUGCGGCGUUUCGGUUCACAAUGAUUAUAGACAAUUAAUGCGGCGGAGUUUUCGUACCAAUUGAUGGUUUCCUUUUUCUCAAACCACGCAAAGGGCGGCUGCACAGUUGCAAGGCGCAAUUUUUCAUGCGUCCAUCUGACAACCCAUCAGGAGGUCUCGUCAUGUCAACUUUAACUGAAAAGAUCGUUUCAAUAAAAAGAAGACAAAUAUGCCAGAGAGUCAACAAUCUGGGGACUGCACCGACCACCGAGCACUUGAUGCUCGGGGACUGGUCGACCAGUUCAUCAGCUCAGAACUUCAAAGACUGCACCGACCACCGAGCAAUUGAUGCUCGGGGACUGGUCGCCCAGUUCAUCAGCUCGGAACUUCAAAGACUACACUGACCACCGAGCACUAUACGCUCGGGGACUGGUCGACCAGCCCACCAAUUUGAGAAUUCGGGGACUGUACCGACCACCGAGUGUUAUAUGCUCGGGGACUGGUCGAUUAGUCUAUUCAAUUGCAGACGGACUGGUAAAUUCAACUUUUUAGACCUUGCUACAAGGCUCAUACUUCGCCUUCCAGCAAGCUCGGGGACUACAUUGGUACGAUGCAUCUGGCGAUGCAUCUCAGUUUCAGAAUUUCUUUAAGGGCUUUUCUUUUGACCCUGGCACCACGUGUCUACGUCACCUACUACCAGGCUCGGGGACUAAGUGGGCACACUUCACCUUGCGGUGAAUAUGCUUGCUUUUUGAAAGACUAUACUUUUCAGAAAAGUAAAGUGGGCACACUUCACCAAGAAAGAAAUCUUUUUUAAUUUAGAGCACCAUGCAUUCUUCAAACAACCUGCUUCUUCGAUGUCAAUGUUGAUCAACUGUUUUUUGAGUUGGUCAAAAUACUGUUGCAACUGUUUGGACGACUUUCCUGCUUAUUGAAGACGUCAAGCCUCACUGAUCGAAGAAGCUCAAGACGGCGUGUUACAUCACAAUACAUGGUGCUCGGGGACUAGCUGUGGGGGGAUAGACCCCUAUACCCUUACGGCUAGACUUGGGCUAGGAGGCUUGGCCCAUUACGAGACGAGUUCAAGGCUUGAUCCGACAGCCUGGAGUUUCGCGCAAGGAAGCGAGAUGUGGAGAUCAAGCAGGAUUCUAGUCGGUUAGAAUAGGAAUUGAUAUCGAACUAUCUAUGACAAUUGUAACCGACUAGGAUUAGUUUCCAGAUCUGUAACCCUGCCCUUCAGACUAUAUAAGGAGAGGCAAGGGACCCCCCCUAGGAUAUCAUAUUCUCUCAACACAAAUCAAUACAACCAGACGCAGGACGUAGGUAUUACGCCAACUCGGCGGCCGAACCUGGAUAAAAAGCUUGUCCGUGUCUUGCGUCACCAUCGAGUUCGUAGUUUGCGCACCGUCUACCGAUAAACUACUACCAUGGGUAUACCCCAAGGUAGACUGCCGACCAGCUUUCGUCGACAGUGUGAGGGAUAGGUUUGGCAUUUUUGGCACCGUUACUAGAUUUAGAGAACUUAGUCUACUUUUGGUAAUGAUGUUAAGAAUACCCAACAAGCAUUUUUGGCGCCAUUGCCGGAGAAGGUUGAUUACUAAUCAGGAAUGGAAUAAAGGAUUUUGAGUUAUCAUUCGCAUCACUAAUAUGAUUGAGCUUAUCUAUUCUCUCAUACAGUUUUACCCCGAUAUUUUUCUAUUUUAUCUUAUGCAGGGGAAUGUAUGAAUAGAAGACAUCUUCCAGGAAAUUUUGUUGACAAUCCUGAAGCAUUAUUCAAGAAGACGAGAGCCAAGCUCAAGAAGAGAUCAUCAACACUUCAGCAAGAAGCUUCAUCCAAUCAAGAAGAUCACUGGAACUUGUCUUCAGAGUUCGAGGCCAUGGUGAACAAAUCAAUCCGCGAGUUCUCAGCUCCCACUACGGACAACAUCCGCACUGGACCUGCUGCAGAGAUCGAUGGCAACUUUGAGCUCAAGCCUAGACUUAUCAACAUGGUGCAAUCCCAGUUCUGUGGGAAGGCACACGAAGAUGCUAGUGCUCAUUUACAACACUUCCUGGAGAUUUGCAACACAUUCACCAUAUCAGGAGUUUCUAAAGAUGCUAUACUACUUCGCCUCUUCCCAUUCUCACUGUUAGGAAGAGCGAAGCAGUGGUUCUACGCUACAAAGGAGAAGAAUACUACGUGGGCACUCUGCUCAACAAACUUCCUGGCUAAGUUCUUUCCCAUGGGCAAGACCAAUGCUCUCCGUGGGAAGAUUACAAGUUUUCAGCAACAAAAUGAUGAAUCUGUUCCAGAAGCAUAGGAGCGCUUUCAAGACUACAUCCUAGAAUGUCCCCAUCAUGGAAUGGAGAGUUGGCUAUUGAUGCAGACAUUCUAUCAUGGGCUCAGCAACAGUGCCCGAGAAACCAUGGAUGCUGCAGCUAGAGGAGCAUUCUUAUCACUUACUAUACCACAAGCCACAGCUCUUGUGGAGAAGAUGGCGUCUAAUCAAAGCUGGAAUGAAGAGAGGACCCAGACACGCAAGAGAGGUGGAGGUAUGCAUCAGCUGAAGGAGGUAGACAUGUUGUCUGCAAAGCUAGACCUGCUCAUGAAGAAGCUCGAUGAUAGAGCUGGAGAUAAGAAGGAAGUUAUGCACAUUUACGACUCUCACAUGACUUGUGAGGAGUGUGGAGACACUGGACACUCAGGCAAUCACUGCCCUGAGAUACUUGAGGAUGUGAACUACAUCAACAACAACUACUACUACUACAACCGUCCUCAACAAAAUCAAGGUUGGAAUCAACAGAGGCCUAAUUACUCAGGUAAUUAUCAAGGUAACAAUUCUUACAACAAUAAUAAUAAUUUUCCACCUCUGAGAGAGUUAGUGUCUAAUCAAGGAAAACUAAUGGAUAACCUAUCUAAGAAAUUGCCAUCUAAUGAUAAAAUACUAGAAAAUAUAAAUAAUAGAAUGGAUAAUUUCUCUACUGCCAUCAAGAAUCAAAUUAGCUUUAAUAAAAUGAUUGAAUCUCAGUUAAAUCAAAUAGCUGCUGCUGUUCCUGUUACUAACCCCGGUAUACCAUCACAACCGGAAGGAUUAGAAUCUGCAAAUCUUAUAGACAUGUUUGAUGCAGGUAAUUGGAGUAACCCCGUCACUGAAUUCACUACUGAACUUCUGUCGGUCAAGAGAGGAGAUCCAGGACGCCCCGUCAUCCCGAUCUCCAUCGGCAUGGUUGACGUCCCAGAAGCACUCUGUGACUUUGGCUCCAGCGUCAACAUUAUACCCAGGGUACUCUAUGAGAAAUUCUUUACAUAUCCUUUAUUAGAAACAACCAUGUGUUUGCAGUUUGCAGAUCAGACGAUAAGUUUUCCAAAAGGAAUAUUGAAGAACCUUUGUGUCCGAGUUGGUACCUUGUAUGCCCCAGCAGACUUCGUAGUGGUAGAGACCGGUAACGAUGAGAGAGCACCCAUCAUCUUAGGGAGGCCAUUCUUAAACACCUCGGGAGCUGUCAUCUACGCUAGUGCUGCCAAGAUCAGUUUCUACAUCAAAGGGAGGAAGGAGACAUUUUUCUUCAGGAACAAGACUACACAAAUCCUAGAUCAAUCCAGACGUGAAUCAAGGAAGAGGACCAACAGGAGGAACAGGAACAAGCAAGUGUGGACCGAGUCAGCUAAGAUGGUCACUGCAAUUCAUGGAGGCCAAGAUCACCAACUUAAGUCACCGUUUUUGACCAAGAAGGAUGACCCAGGAAUGCCAAGCAUCUACUACUCCAUAAAUGAAUACAACUUCUACAAGGCAACUUGUGACACCCGAUCGGGCGUCAACAUAAUGGCCGCAGUCACCUAUCGGCUCUUGUUCGGAACCAUGCCACUAAGACCAACAUACAUUCAGCUCCAGAUGGCUGAUCAGACAUUUCGAGAAGUUAAAGGAAUAGUAACUGAUGUCCCAGUCAAGAUAGACGAUCAUUUUGUCUACACAGACUUUCAAGUUAUUGACAUGGGAGAAGAUGAGUAUGAUCCACCCAUCAUCCUUGGAAGACCAUUCCUCAGCACCGUGAAAGCAAUUAUCUACAUUGGAACUAGAGAAGUCCAUAUGCACUUCCCCUCAGAGAAGGUACGCCGUUAUUUUACUGACCCUAACUAUAUUGUUGAAGAAUCUAAGCAGGUAAGAAAACAACGCAACCGCAACCAGAGGAGACAGAUCAUCAAGGACGGAUGGGCAGACUACGAAGGAGAAGUUAUAAGGUCAGAAGACGUAGAGUUUAAACAGAAUUAUCCUGAGGAGACCAAAGCACCAAGUCAGGUAUGGAAAGAGAAGAUAACUAUACAUGAAGAGGAGGCGCUGCCGGAAGUACCGACUACGCCACCCAACGAAUCCCAGGACAAUUGAGAAAACGGAGAGUCCCGUUCGGAGGACUUAAAAACACCGAACGCCUUGCCAAGAGGUAAACUUGGUAGUUAUCAUUUCCCUUUCAAUUAUUUCAACUAGUUUACUUAGUUAAUCAUGUUCAUGCUAUCCUAAAAAGAAAAUAAAAAUGUGAAAAACAGUAAGCCCCAUGUGAGUAGACGAGUGGCAUAAAACCCAUAAGUACAUUCACUGUGGUGGCAUAAAAAUAAAAUAAAUAUUUCUUUUCUGCUCUAUAAAAAUGAAAAUAUAAAAACAGGGAGUAAUAUUUAUUAAGGAGUCUCAACAUGAUAAAGGCUAGAUAUUUAUUCUAACACUUAAUCAAGUUCCACAAGCUUUGUUGUCUAUUUGAGCUCCACAGAAUUUAAGAAUCAAGAAGACUAGCAGAUGGAGGACAUUCUAAUCGCUGUCAGAAUGCUGCUGACUUUCAAAUACACCUCUGCCACCUGCUAGCUACAUCAAGAGAAAUUACGUCAAAAUUCAGCUUGGGGGAGAGCACCCCCAUUUAUCCCGAUAAGUAUUUCUAUCUAUCUUUAUACUUAUAUUAUAUUAGAAUAUUAAAAUACAUAACUAUGGAAAACCAAAUAAAGAUUUUAUGCUUAUAUAUAUAUAUAUUUUUUGCUUAGUGUGUUUAAUAAAUAAAUAUAGUGGCUAUGCUAAUCUGUAUCUAAAUAAAACUCAAGCAUGGAUAUGAUGAAUAGUUGCUCUGCCUAAUUUGCACAUUUUAAGUUCUCUCUCAAGUUUAGACAUAACUGUUAUAAUUUAAGGCUUGCUCUAGACCUAAACUUGUGGGAUGAAAACUUGAUCUGAAGUCUAAGUUGUUAACGGAUACGAUAUGGGAAGGUUGAGCUGCUGUCUAUCUGUUCCUAUAGAUGCUAGAAUUCUGGAAAAUUUUAUCUUUGAAAAUCUUUAAAAAUGUUGCAUGAUGAGUUCCUGUAUGAUGAGAGUUUUAAAUUCCUACCACAGCCAUAUAUACAUGCUUGCUAGACUUUGAGCCAUACAAUUACUAUUUACUGCUUAUGAGCAUUGAGUGUGGUCAAGCUGUGUAGACCCUUAGGAGCUUGUCAUGUGGUUAAAUCAAGAUUUCACUUGCACGUUCACUCAUAUAUGCUACUUCUACUCCGGAAGUACCAUCCACAUAUAUCCACUCAUUUCCAUCUCCAGAAUCACCUAAAAAUAUUCUACUCCUAAUUCGGGAGAGAAUAGCCAAAAAUAUUUUUGUUUUUCCCUUGUGAAAUAAAUGCUCAAGUUAUCUUGUUACUACCACUUGCUACAUUAUUUCAAGAGAUGAGUGCUCUGAAAAAAAAAUGAGGAAAUAAAAAGAAGCAAGUGCUCGGAACCUCGAAAGAAAAGAAAAGUGAGACGAGAGGUAAAAAUGGACAAGUGUCCGACAGUAGAAUUAGAGGUACAAGAUACCCACCUGAGAGAAAAGAAAAAAAAAUAGAGCAUCUCAUUCUCCUCACAAAGUUUCAAAAAGCAAGAAAGGUAUGUAUCCCCUCAAAAGAGCAAAAGUAGAAUUAGACUUCCAUCACCAUUGUUUUCACCAUUGUUACCACCAUCAUCACCAUACACCAUUCAUUCGCCACACAUGCACAUCUUGAUUAAACUUAUUGACUUGUUACUUUGAUCCAUGGUUUGACUAUACAAUAAAUGUCUUGUAAGUAUGUAUACUUUAUCUCCCACCUAUGAGCUCCAGAUAUUAAAGCCUUAUUAGAGUAGGGUGAGAGAUAAGAUAAUGUCACUAUGCUUUAUACCACAAAUACUACAUAUCUUGAGAGAAGGCAUAUACCAUCACUGCCUUGGUAAGGAUCCAGAAAUACCACAAAAGAGAGAUAUGAGAGAAUCAUACAAGGAAUCUCUGAGUUUUAUUUGAAAAUCUGCAAAAGCACCAGAGCUAUAGCUGAUCAAGAAUAAGAGACAUGGCACUUGACUAGACUAUUCUAUCUUUUAACUACUCAAGAUAGAAGUGACGGUUAUAAGUCCCAUGGUAAAGGUAAAGUAAGUAAGUUUUAAGUCUUGACAGUUUACUCUAACUCAGAGAUAAGAUCUUAUUUAAAAAGCAUGUGUACCGUAAAUUUUUAAAGAUAUUGCAACAACAUAUGAUCCAUAGAUGAGUCUAUCCUUGCUCAGGGACGAGCAAGAGGUAAGCUUGGGGGAGUUUGUUAACGGUCCUUAAGUAUCAAAUUUAAUUAUCAAAUAAAUAAAGAAAAGGAUCCAAAUGAAAUCAACAUCUAGACUUAGGGUUUUAUCUGACAGAAUUCCACGAGUUUUGGUGUUUGUCUAUUUCUGCAGCGGGUUAUUAGGAAAUACGGAAGAAAGGCCCACACGUCGGGAUUACAUAGAGAUAUUAACGUGCCGCGCAAUUAUCUUACAUCAAGAAGACUCCAGAAGCCACGAGACCGAAGCGGAGGCGAAACGGGGCCACAGGCAGGGCGCCCGCCCUCCUGCCCUAGGCGCCCGCCCCCUCCCUGAGUCCAAUCAGGACUCUGCUUCGUGGGAGAUCUCCACCGACCUAAAGGUUGAAUCUAAACCAUACAAUCUAUGUCGGUUUGAUCCAACGGCCCAUAUUCACUUGAAGGGACUAUAAAACCAGACCCCCUGGCCCCUGGAGGAGAGAGCCUCUCAACCCUAAUUCAUUGUUCUUCAAGGGAGAAGAAGCCUCUGAUCAAGAUUAGAGCCACCACAUCAAUUAGAUAUCUAGAUUAGCAUAGCUACAUAGGAUUAGAACUAGAAGGAGUCAAUCUUCGAUUGGUUUCUGGAUCUGUCAAGAGGAUUCUUGGUAAUUCUCUAAUUGUGCUUCUAAUUGUUCUUCUAAUUAUCUUUGUUCUUCAAUAUUAUGAAUAUGACUUUGUUCUACUUCAAUAUAUUGCUUAUGACUUUGCUCUACUUGCUUAUAUUCAAGAUUAUAUUGUUCUUAGUUUAUCAUAGUUAUGUACUUGGCUUAGUUAGAUUGGAUUUAUAUACAUGCUUAGGAUCGUAUAGCGUUUAUCCAUCGGAUCCAUGGGUAAAUGAUAGAUAUUGUGUAGGCGUGGUGCUUAUACCGUAUUUAUCUGCGAUUGUACCCAAUAUGCCAGAUCGUGGGGUAGUUCGUGAUAGUGACAGCUUCAUUGAUUCUUAUAUAGUCCCCCUCUCGUGUAUUGGGCUGGCAGAGCAAUAUUAUUACAGGGGAGUGAUUGCUAUGUUUCUCAUUUACCUUGCUAAUAUCACUAUGCAUGGGCGUAGUCUUGUCUCACAAUGAUUGCUAAGUAUGCUUGCACUAACUAUGAUAUGCUAGACUAUAUAGUUGAGAAUAACUUAGGGAAUAUUCAUGUAGUUCGUUCUAAUACCAUGCUAAUGACUUUCUAGAGUAUCUAAUUGAGGUGCUUAUCAUAUUUAUAUGUGGCUGAUCAGAUUAAUUAUCUUUGUCACUAUUUAUUAUUUCAUAUAUCUUUUAUCUGACACUUAUCCUUGUAUGAAGAGUUAGAUAAAUGUUCUCAAUUAUACGUGCAAUGAUAGAUGCUCAAUCUCAUAUUCUAUUCUGUAAUCAAUAUUGAUGAUUGUUAAUCCCUUCCUAGUGGUAAAAAUAUAAAUAACGAUACCUGGAAUACUUCCCGGUUAAAAUGCUACAUCGGUAUUAAUCUGUGCGCUUGCAGAUCCCAUUCAUUAUUUAUUUAAAAGAGCAAUUGCAUAUUUCAAUACCGCGUCUCUCAUGUCAUGCUGGGGAUGACAACUUGGCUUAAGUGGUGUGAGGGAUAGGUUUGGCAUUUUUGGCACCGUUACUAGAUUUAGAGAACUUAGUCUACUUUUGGUAAUGAUGUUAAGAAUACCCAACAAUGUGAUUGGUGCAUCCACUAUCAAGCACCCAACUUGGCCCACCGGAGGAAUAGACCUGCAAAAGAAGAUUAAGCCUUUGGUUUAGGUCCCGAGUUGGAACCUAGGGGGUUAGACACAUAAGAUUUGGGCACCCAAACACUCCUCAAGAUUUGUCUCUUCUUGAGGGCGCCCACAUAUUUCACAACAAUCUUGCCAUCCUUAUCCCAACAACACAUCUAGUCACAAAUGUGAUUGCGUGAGAUAGGUGCUUGUUGCUUGGACACUUCCACUUGCUUCCUCUUGAUGCUCUUGUUGUUUGCAAGUGGAAUUGUAGGAGUGGCAACACUGUUCACCUUAUCAAUAAGGUCAACAAGAGGCACACUCUUGUUGAACUUCACACAAGCCACCCCAUUUAUCAUGUUUCUUCCAUUGGCCUUACCAUUGUACCGAUUAUAUCUAAGGCCAUCCUUGAUUAUGGGGUGCCUUGAUGCCUUGAACACAUUUGCCGGUUGCUUGUCUUUGCACUUGCAACCAAUCUUGACAAUAGUGUUCAGUCUUUGAAUCUCUUUGUCCUUCUUGGCUAAGUCAUCAAGGUUAGUGGCACAUGCAUUUAUAUCAACAUUUAUGCAUCUUUCACAGCUUUUACUUGUAGACGCCUUUGAAUCCUUGGAGGCGGCAGAGGUGCUAGACCAAAGCUUUUCAUAGUUUAGUUCAAGCUCAUGAUAUUUUGUUGUCAAGCUUGUGAGGCUUUCUUGAGCCAAACUAUGAUCAUUCUUUAGGCUAGCCAAAGAGCCAUUGAGUGAGGAAUGUUCUUUAGUCAAUCGCUCAAUGGAGUCUUUGACUAGAGACAAUUCUACACCCAAUUUCCCAACCCUCUCCUUUUCCUUGGAGAGACAUACUUUGAGCCCUUGGUUCUUCUCCCUUUCCUCUAGGAACAAUUCCCCUUGCGACUCGAUGCAUGACUCAAGCUUGUCAUUAGUGUAUAUUAGCUUUAGAAUUUUAGUUGCAGCAGUUUUACCAUAUUUCUUAAUGAGAUUUGUAGCAUAGUUUUCAUCAUCUUCAUCAUCACUAUCACAAUCACUAGUGGUUUGAGGAGAGGAGUCAAUUUGUACCUUGUCUCCUUUUGCCAUAAGGCAUGUACGAGAGUUAUCAUCGUCAUCGGAGAGAUUGGCAAAGAGCCUAGGCGAUGAGUGGGUGUCGGAGAUGAGUGCGGUGGAUGAGGCAUUGUUGGUGAAGAUCUUGGUUGAGGAAGAUCUUUCUUGUACGGCGAUGGCAGCCAUACUCUUCUUCUCAUUAUCAUCAUCAUCAUCACUGUCACUGUCCGAUUGCCAUUCUUGCCCGAGGUGUGCUUCCCCUUUCUUCUUGUCCUUGUACUUCUUGUCACUUUGUUUGUUGUACCUUGACUUCUUUCCUUUGUUGGGACAAUCAGCUGCAAGAUGGCCGGUGUCACCACACUCAUAGCAAAAGCUCUUCCUAUAUGGUUUGUUUCCUCCAUAUCUCCUCAUCUUCUCUUUCUUCAUUCUUAGAAAAUUCUUGUAAUUUUCCACUAGCAUGGCUGGUUCUUCAUCAAGAUCAUCAUCAUCUUUGUGCUUAUGCUCACAACAUCCUUUGUUACAAUGACUUGACUCACUUCCAUGUGAAGCGGUGAGUGCUAUGUUCUUCCUUUGAUUUAGGGCUUCUUUGGCUUCAUCAUCCAAGACUUCAUGGUGCAUCAACUUUGCUAGCAUUUCUUGAGAAGACAUAGUGUGAUAGUUGUCUUUCUCCAUGAUGACGGAUGCAAGCAUGUUGUUCCUUUGUCUAUACACUCUACAAAUUGUUCUUGCUGCAGAGUUAUCAUCCCAUGUUUUUGCUCCAAGUGCUCUAAUUUGAUUGAUCAAUGACAUGAAUCUAUCAAACAUGGUUUUUGUUGUUUCUCCCUCAAGUAUGCAAAAGUUCUCAAUCUUACUUUGUAAGAGCUCAAUGUUUACUACUCUUACACUUUUGUCUCCCUCAAAUGACACUUUCAAGGUGUCCCAAAUUUGCUUAGCAUUCACCAUACCAUUUACUUUGUUGUUGUCCUCUGGGGUAAGACAUUGUAGGAUCAAGGUGGCAGCUGUUGCAUUAAGAUGAAAGUCUCUCUCAUCUUCGGGAGUCCACUCAUUUGGAUCUUGCGGUGGAUUCACACCAAUGUCCACUACUUCCCAGCAUCUUGCGGCAAUGAGGUGUAACUUCAUUCUAUGAGCCCAAUCGGUGUACCUUAUACCAUCAAAUGGAGGUGGCGUUUCGGGGUUGAUCAUCGGCAAUGUUGGAUUCUUGCAUGAGCUGCUGUAAUCAAACCCAGUUUUGUUGUAGGUCUUUGACACCUUGCUAGCAUCUUCAUUUCCACCUUCACUAUCCAACUCGUGAUUCCUUUUACCUAGGAGUUCUUUCAUCUUGUCUAGCUCUUCUUGCAUCUUCUUCAUUUGCUCUUUCUGCUGCAGCUGCAAGGACGCUGUGAUCUGUGCUGUGAUUUCCUCAACGAUUUGUUGUUGAGUUGUUGGAUCCAUCUUGGCCAAAGUUGCUCCACACGUGGUGAAGCAUUUGUACGAGGAACCUUGCUCUAAUACCAAUUGAAAGGAUCUAAUUGGCCUAGAGGGGGUGUGAAUAGGCGUAUCUAAAAACCUGAAACUAAAAAACUCAAGUUGCGGAUGUUAAAUGCCUGUCGGUACCACCGACAGUUUGGGCCGGUACUACUGGUGUAAGACAGCCAGUACUACCGAUGCAAACUACUGGUACUACCGACUCCCUAAGAUAGCUAUGAAAUCAGAGUAAGAUGAGCUUAGAUUUCAGAUCUGAGUGUUAUCCCACUUUUCUAGAUGUAGGAGAGGAUGUUGUUGAAGAUUCCUUAGCUUGGUUCUUCUCCACAACGUAGAUCGACCCUUGUUUACCUGUUAAAGAGUGGGAAGAGAAAAAACACAAAGAACACAAGACCAAGGGUAGUCGAAGCUACCGCCACAACAAGACAAGGUAUUUUUCUUGAGGUUCGGCAAUCUCCACUGAGGAGUUCCUACGUCCCCGUUGUUGAGGUGACCACGAAGGUCCGACCACUUAGGUCUCCUCCUCAAGCAACCACAAAGGUUAGCUUGAUAAUUCCACUAAGAAUCAAGGGGUAAUACAAACACUUUGGGGUGCCCUCACAAAUGAAUCAACAUGAGCAACCAUGAAGAACGCCUAGCCGGCUAGGGUUCCAAGAACCCAAGAGUAACAAAUGCAAACCAAACCGGCAAGACGAGGAACCGAGUGCUCAGUCACACAUCGAAGCUCCCAAAUCUCUAAUCUCACUUCUCUAGCUCGAAUCUCUCAAGAAGUGAAGUCUAGGAGCAAGAGGGAGAGAGAGUGGGUGAGACAAAGCUUGGGGACUGUUUUCUCAGAUGUGGAAUAGCUAGAAUGAGCAAGACAACGGUUAGAAAAGAGGAGAGAGCUAUUUAUACUAGAGUACUGAACACCUGCCGGUACUACCAGUGUAACCACUGGUACCACCGGCGUCCUUAGAUCUAAACGAGAGAAGGUUGUGGAAGAUGCGAGAAAAAGGUCUACCGGUACUACCGGCCUUGAGCCGGUACCACCGGCAAUUCAAAUUCCCGCAUUCAGCAGUUCUGCGGAAAUUUGGCCUGCCGGUACUACCGGCGUUUCACCGGUACCACCGGUCAAAGCCCGGUACUACCGUAGUUCAUUUUCUCGCAAAACUCAGGAGAAGGACUGGCACUGCCAGUACCACCGGCCUUGAGGGCCGGUACUACCGGCUCACCCUGGCAGAGAAGAAAAUUCCUAGUUGUUUGUGCGUGCAAGUGUGUCCCUCAAGCGCAAAAGCUAAGAUGACCUGAGCAUUACCAACUCAAUUUGCAUCCCUCUUGAUAGUGCGUCGUUUCCUAUAACUCAACCAAGAAACAAAACUAGGUAGCUUCUUGAGUUGAAACGUCGCUUAGACAAGGAAAAAUUUGGGGGUGCUGUGAUUCACCAAAUGUGUUUGUUUGAUUCCAUCAAUGAACUAGCACCUGUAGAUUACACUUGAUAAACAUGUUAGUUCCUAAUUUGAUUGUCAUCAAUUAUCAAAACCCACAUCGGGGGCGAAUGCACUUACAGUAUGUAAUCUGUGAUUGAAAUGCUUAAUCAUGUACGAUCUUGGUUGUAUGUUGGUUAGAAUGCGAUCUUUCGAGGUCUCAUCAGACUACCGGGUUUAUAUGGGUUCAAGUAUAUCAGUUUGACUGCCUAAAUGGUUGCUGAGGUACUUAAGCUCUUAUAAAUUGGACGAUUCUAUUACAAUUAGUAUCAAUGAAAAAAAUCUUUAAGUCUAGUUUUUUAACAAUUUUUUAGAGAUACAAAUAUUGCACGUAUUUUCUAUAAAUCGGGUAAAAAACGUGACACGAAAACCUAAAAUGACACUUAUUAUGAGACAGAGGGAGUAUAUCAAAUAUACGAUUAAAUGAAUUAUAUUUUGUAUUUUUUAUAGUAAACCUUUUUUUGCAAGACCCAGUUACAGAUGCAGAUGCUCAUAUACAUGAGUGCACACUCACAUCUAUAAAUACACACACCCUACCCCUAUGAACACCUUCGAAGAAGACACCAUAGACAUCUCGCUGUUGACGAAUACAUCACCUACUAUUAAAAGUAUAACAUCGUUAAAUCCUAGAAUAAAUCUAGAAAAAUGCAAGACCUGGGUGAACAUGUUUCCACCACAAUAGAUCCAACCAUCUAAUCUAUUAUCAAUUCACAUAGUAAACCUAUUUAAUGAUACAAGUGUUAAUAUUAUUAUUUAAAAAUUGAGAAUAUUUGACUCAUGAGGGUCAUGAAAUUUUCAAACGCAAAAUGGAGGAAAAUGUGAAAAUGCCAAAAGGGGUUUUGAACACCUCCCCUGAGGAGCGCUGCCGCCGUGUGCCGACAAUCCACUGUCCUCCUCGACUCAUCGGCACCUGACUGUCCCGGUAGGCCUACUUUGGUAGCAAAAGAAAAUCUGCCCUGGAAUGAUUUUCCCUACGUGGAAUUAUUUGGACUUUUGAUUCCCACCUCCACCGUGGGGGAGGAAUCCACGCAUGGGGUAACAUCCCUGCUGCUGUUUGGCAAGCGUGUCAAAGCCAGUACAGAUGAAGAAAAUAAAAUAAAAAAUAAUGUCUCAAAUAUCUGAAAAAUCAAAGAAAAAUCAGAAAAAGUAAAAUACUAUACAAAUUCACCGCUGAUCUAUGUCAGAACCACAAAAUCAUGAAAAAUAGCUGGCAUAGACCCAUAUCUAUACAAAUACAUAGAUAUUUCAAAGCAUAAAUCAAGGAGUAACAUAACAAAACAUGCAGUCAUCACCAAAUGUCCAACCAGCUAGUCCAGUCAUCACCAAGUCAAAGUCAUCUCCAUACCACACAUCUAAAUAGACAAUGAUAAAUAAAACAAUAUUUUUUUGACCAAGAACUUUGGCACUAGAUUAAAUUAUUGUUUAACUCCUUUUCAUAAGCAAGGUUCGAGGGAAAAAAGUCUAUAUAAGCUUCUCAUAGGAACAACAUUUGUAUUUUUCUUCUCAAAUCGUAAAUUGCUUCCACCAAGAGCUCUACAAGGAAAAACAUUAGCAUCUCCAGACAUACCUAAAGUAAACAAGAAUGUGUAUGGUUCUAAAAAAUAAACAUGAAUGUGUAUGGCUCUAAAAAAACAAAUGUAAGGUUGUGAACAACAGCUCACUGAACUGAAACUGAUAUGGGCUGAAUUGACUGAAUGGUGCUCCAUCUCUGCCCCCUAAGCUUACAUCAGUAACUAUCACUGUGAAUGGAUCUACUCUAGCAAUUAGUGAUUAGAAGAAAUGUUUUUGUUUUCUUAUCUAGGAACUGAUGACCAAAUCGAGCAGCUAGCUACAGAUGCAAAAGAACUGGCAUAAAAACAGGUGUAAAAUCUACCACUGGGUAACUAACAAUGAUGUCAAAAAUUAAAGAAGGAACGUAACACAGCAGAACAAAUUCAAAUUCAAUCAGACAAGAUCUCCAAUCAGACAUGUAUACAAGGGCAGAUUCAAACAAUAUACCUGCAUACAAUGACUGCAACUGCCUUUUUUUUCUCAAUUCAAAUAUUGCCUCCACUGAUAGCACUGCAAGUAAGCACAAGGAAAAGCAUUAGCAGCUAAGGCACACAAAGUAAACUAAUCGAGUGGCAGCAAAACAUUACCUAAUCUGCUGUUUGAGCCAAAUCAAGCGAACAUUUUUGUUUUUCAUUUUCAUGAAUACCUCCCUAUCAAUCUCAGAUUUGAAGACGUUCAUAGUAUAUGCCUUCUGCACAUCAGUAAGCUGCAUUGCAUCAACUUCAUCGAGACACUUGUCGACUGAAAAUUAUUCAUCUUGCUUCUUCUUUUCCUCAAGAGCUUUCAUGGUUUUAGUUGUUUGUGUCUUCUUAAACUGCACAAAACCAUCAAUAGCAGCACCAAGACUUUGCUUACGCUUUCUCCCACCACUCGCUUCUCGCAUAGAAUCUCCUAUAGACUGAGCUUCAUUGUAUGCACUUGAGAUGUCUAGCCCAUCAAAAGGAGUAGUUAGACUUGUGCCAUCAGCAAGAGCAGCUGGAGCAGCAGGAGCAGUGGGAGCAGUUGGAGCAGCGGGAGCAGCUGGAGCAGCUGGGCCAACAAUAGGAACAAGGGGAGCAGCGGGAGCAGGCAGCAAGUGCUCAGUUGAUGUGAAGUUUAGAUCUCCUGUAGCAACACUUUCUAUGCAAAAAAAUAGUGCACAGUUAUACUUCAACUAUAGGCAUACUAUUUUUUAAUGGGAUGAAAUCAAUCUAUACAUGUUUCAAACACUACAUCAAUACUACAAAUUUUUAAAGAGAAGAUUCAAAUAAUAUACCAGCAUACAAUGAUGUAAAGGAAACGGCUUCUUCUGAAACUUAGCCAUAUUUCCAUUAUCCUAUUUCAUACCAAGACAACAUUGUAGUUAGUGCUUGCAACUAGAAUAUAGCAACAAUUUUUUGGUUUAGUGAAAAAAUCUUACACUGAUCAGUUUCUUCCAUUUUUCUGGUUCCGCAAUGACCAUGGCCAAUGUGUCAUUCCAGCCAACACCACUUUCCUUUCUCGCUACAUGUAUUGCCUUGCAACUGCCCUUUAGCUCCUUCUCCUUCUCUUGCAGCUACUGCUUUGUGAAGCGUGCUAAAGGAUACAUUUGGGUAACCUUCUCAGAGAUACUUCUCCAACCCUCUACGGUCCAUCCAUUCUGACCCCUGAACAAGGGGAUGUUCACAUUAUCCCUCAUAAUGUCAACAAGCCCUUUUUCAUAUCUAGAGUUCUAUGUAGCCCUUUCCUUCGACAUUGCUGCAAGUAAUUUAUUACAGUAAUACAUAGCUCAUAACAUAUUAUAGAAUGUAUUGAAGAAUUUAUUACACAAUAUUACAUCACACAAAAAUACAUAACUCAUAACAUAUUAUAGAAUGUAUUGGAGAACUUAUUAUAGAAUGUUGCGUCAUAGAAUGUAUUAUUGAAAUACAUAACUCAGAACUGAUAAAUUACAUUCCUAACACUACUAUCCUACACAUGGUAGGCAACCCACAUCUGAUGGGCUAUCUGGUCUCGUAGGAUAUUUCCAUGGUUUGAUUCCAUCUCACUUGGGUAGUUAGUGUCUCCCUCUGGCAAGUCGACAUAAUCUGAUGGGUUGAUAUUAUCACGUAGGAAGUCAAACCACUCUUCACUCCCAUUCAACCCUCUAAUGAUGUUGUGAAACAUAGCAGCUGCUGCUGGAAUCUUAACUUGGGAUUCAAUUGGGUAAUGUGUCCCCACUUUCAGGAUUGGAAACCACUUUUUAAGAACCCCAAAGGCCCUCUCAAUGUGAUUUCGAAGAAUUGCAUGCCGAUGAUUGAACAAUUCCUUGUAGUUGGCAUAUGCAUUUCCCCUCUGGCCACGUCUCCUAAACUCACUGAGAUGAUACUUAACUCCUCAGUAGGGAGCAAGGAAUGAUGGUGUGUUUGCAUAUCCACCGUCUACAAGAUAGAAUUUACCAGCCGGCACAGUAAACCCCUUGCUAAGAGCAGACCGCAACACUCCUGCAUCUGAUGCGGAUCCUUCCCAACCAGAUGAGAUGAAAGUAAACUUCAGGUCAAAGUCACAAGCAAACAUUACAUUCUGCGAUAGUGUUCCCUUCCUAUUUCUAUAGGGACUGGCCUUGUCUUGUCCAAUUGUGAUUGGGACAUGCGUACCAUCAAUAGCACCUAUGCAAUUCUGCAGGUAAGAAAAAUUACUGAAGAUUUGGAUUGUAUUUAGGAAUGGUAUUAAGGAAAGUGUACUGUAUGUAUGAACCGACCUGAAAGAAUGGCAUAAAUCUAGGGUCACAUGUAAUCUUCACGUGUGUGUUGCUUGGGUUCGGAAGUCUGAUGAAUCUUUGAAUUAAUGCUGGAAUGAUAUCAAAGACCUCAUUUAUUUUCCUAUGCACUGUCUCACCGCUAUGUUGAAACUCCUUCUUUAGCCUAUCUGUGCUUGCAUUAUGAGAGAGCAUGAACAUAAAAAGUCCAAGUUGCUCCUCAAUCUUCAUGCCACGUGUGUCACGUAGCAAGUUCUCGGCUCUGAGAAAGUUUGCUAUAGUUCUAAAUAUUUCAGUCUCCAUCCUAAAUUCUACCUUGCACCAAUUCUCGUGCCCUUCGAGGAUCUCUUUAACUUUUUUAGCUCCAGGAAGAGAAGAGGUAUGCUCAGGUGUUUUCUCUUCUUCGAGAAAGGGCAUUAUAACAGGGAGAAGAACAAAGAAUAGCUCCUCAUCUUCUUCUUCCUCUUCCAACAAAAAAUUCCUAGCAAGGUCUUCCCAAGAAGCCAUCUAGUGUUGCAUAUAUGAAAUUAUAUCAUUACAUAUACAUAAAAUAAAAGGCACAAGGCCAAUACUCGUAUGUAUUAAACUCAAGCACAACACAAAAAAUCACAGUGAUCAAAAGAGUAUCCACAAAAUAGACUAGAAAUCAAGAGUGACCAAAAGAACAUCAUAUGCCUCUCACGCUUCAACGAUCCAUACAGAUAGACUAGAAAGCAGAUAAAAAACUGCUAGUAGAAAUCCAAAAGAGUAUCCACAAAAUUCCAUUACUUCUAAUGCAGCAAGAAUCAUUGUACACCAACAAAAAGCAAAAAAUAACAGAUGCAACAGUUAUUGUCAGCAAAGAGUACCUUUUUGUCAAUUUCAUAAACUUUCAGUCUGUCUAUAUAUCGAGGUGCUGAGUCUAUCGACUCAAUCUUAGCUUACUAACCAUUUUUUCUAACUAGUUAUUCUAGCAUAUUUCAAUCAAAAAAAGUUAUUCUAGCAUAUGCACAUGCAAAAUAUUAACUGAAAUGAUUUAUUUACUUGGCUAAGCUGGUAUAUCUCUAGAUGUUGAGAAAUUGCUACUAGAUUAUGAGUGUGUUUAUAUACAUAAUUAUAUUACGGAGUAGCUUAUUAUCAUGGUUUGUUGUUGUAUUUUAUUAUUGAAUACUUAUAAGUAAAAAUGACCUCAUUUUAGCUAUAGCAUAUAAGAGAUGUUAUGUCCUUAAGCAUGCACAAGUAGAUUCAGCCUAAGUAUAUAUUUUAGUGGCCAUAUGGAGUAGAGUGUCAGUUUCUAUUUACCUCGGGGCCGACAGGCUAUCUAUUCAUAAUAUAUAAGACAAUGCAGACUGCCAUGCAUGCUGAGUCGAUGCCAAAAAGAAGUGCAUCCAAAUCAGCAAAAACAAAGAGAAUAAAAAAACAGGUAAAACUACCAAUACAAUCAAAAAAAUAAGCAUAAAGAAUCCAGAUCAAGUAUACAUAUGAGUUUUUGUUUCAUUUGGUGACACAGACGUGCAACAAAUCAAUCUCACCAAAAAAAGGAUAUGCAAAGCAUCGGUUUUCUCAUGAAAAAUAAACUCAAGCACAUCAUAGAAAAUAAACUUCAACUAUUAUUGCCCCAUGAUUAACUAGUGGGCAAAAAACAUUUACAAGUACCACUAGUACUACUAGUACUAUCUUUCAAAGCAACUGGUUAUUCGAGAGGCACAUCAUACAGAUAGACUAAUAAAGUAGGAAAAAAUAACAGAUGCAGCCAUACAGACAAACUAGAAAGCAGAAAAAACAAUAGAUGCAACAGGCAACAGUAGGGGAACUAACCUGACACCAGUGUCACCUCGUCCCAAGAGCAGCAGAAAAUCACUCCUGCAAAAGCAUCAUGCCCUUAUAAAUUCAGGCAUUUCUUUGGUAGUGACAUAUCUUGCGGGAAACAGCCUGUGAACUCUUUUCAAAGAGCACCAAUUCUACCAUACAGAAAGCACGAAUGCUAUUUAAAAUAUUUCCACUUAUAUGAUAGAACUCUAUAAAGGCAAAAGCAUGUGAAUCAUCAUUAUCAUCCAAGUUGGAAGCAGUUUAUGUAGACCCCACCUUAGAGCAGAAAUUUACUACAUAAUAUAGUCUAAUUCAUACUUGGGAGGUAAGAUUAGGAAAACUAAAUACUUUUGCUGUGGCAGCAACGACAACUCGAAUCAGAUAUAUAGCAUAAUCAAAUAUGUGAGCAAAAGCAAAAAACCUGAGAUAAUGUUAGAGCUGAAGUAGAUUUGCGGGAUUGCGGCUGAUCACUUGCAGAAUCUUCUGACACUAGCGGAAUCUGGUUACACUUGCAGAAUAUAAACCCCACGAUGUGUAAUCUCUCCCGACAGAAUCUGGUUACAAAUUUGAAACAGGCCAGAGACUAGUUCAUUAAUCCCAAGUUCCCAACCCAAAAUGAAAAUAAUAUCUUCGAAAGGCAAAAUGAAUUCAUGGGAUACAUGUCCUAAUUUAAGCUUACAAUAUUUGAUGCUUUGCUUAUGAACUGGAUGAAAACUAUUCUACAAACGGUGCAAGAAGCUAAAUUGUUACGGAUGUGGAGCAUGCAGCACGAGCUUUUUGUCUAGUGCAUAAGCUUUUUGGACGUUACCCAAACAUGUCAUCCUACUCUAUUGCAGUGGUGUUCUGAACACAAACACCAACUCACAAAUGAACAUUACAAUAGGUACACAUCCAAGUCACAGAAAGCUCAAUCUAGGGAGGAACAAGGAGAAGGGAGGAAGGACUUACCAGAUCUUGGAACGAGGCAAGUGGCCAGGCGCUGGAUCUAGAGAAACAACCUGUGAAAAGUGAGAGUCAAGAAACUCAAAACCCUAGCAGGAGGCGCUGUUGGCGUGAGAAGAGAUGUCGGGCUCACUGUUGGCUUGACCAAAACGACGAGAUGGCACAGGCGACGGGAAGCCAGGGCAGAGGAGACGGGGUGCCAGGGUGGGGGCGAUGGGAUGCCGGCGCGUCGUCGAUGGGAUGUCGGGGCAGCGUCGAUGAGAUGCCAGGGCGGAGGCGACUCGCCGUGAUGCGGUGAGCUUCCCCGUCUCGAUCUGGAUGGAGCCCGUCGGCGGAGCCUGGAGAACCUAGGCGAGCGGCGGCGGAGCCUGCGGCGUCGCGAGGGGAAGAAGAGGAGCCGCGCGGCUCGCGAGCGCACGGGGAAACCCUCCCGAGCUAAUGAGUCGUGGAUUUGUUCCCCGAGGAAAACAUAGAGAAGCGGGCCUCCAUCCUCGACUUCAUGGGCUGCCAAACGGUGCACAAUUUUGGCUCGGAGGAGGCUGGCACGGGUCUGAUUAACCCAUGGAAAAGGCCGGGAUCCCUACGGGAUACUGGGCUGCCAAAGGAGCCCGUAGUGGUUUUUGUCCCGCUGACACACCCCAUGGCGGAUCCCAUGCCAAUCGACGGGAUGGGGUCUGUAGUCGUGACGGUGAGCGGCUACCGCGGCCACGAGCGGCAUAGGCUCGUCAACCUCAUCGCGGAGAUAGGAGCCAGCUAGGUCAGAUCCAUGAGCAGGUCCAUCACCCACCUGGUAUGCCACUACGAGUCUACGAAUCUCCAGCUUCCUGGGCAUUGAUUUUUUAGUUGGUUGAUUUGAUUCCAUGCGGUGUGAAAUUGGAUCUGGUGCGCGCUUCUAGCGGGCAAGUGUACUGGAGGCUUGAGGGGGAAGAAGUACGACAUCGCGAGGAGGUUGGACACGAGCGUCGUGAGCCACCGGUGGUUCGCGGAGUGUCUCAGGGAGGGAAGGCGCCUCCCGGAUGACCCCUACUUGAUGGAAAGGUAGGGGGUAGGUUUUGUUCAACUGUUCCGAGGCUUGUUUAGUUCCCAUCCAAAAAGUUUUCACCCAUCACAUCAAAUUUUUAAACACAUACAUAGAGUAGAUGAAAAAUAAACUAAUUACACAGUUUGGUUGAAAAUCACGAGACGAAUCUUUUAAGCCUAGUUAGUCCAUAAUUAGCCUUAAAUGCUACAGUAACCUUAUGGCACAGACGACGGAAAGUGGUGUGGAUAAUUCUCCGAACCGAUCUGAUCCGAAUUCGAAUUUUGAGGAUAUGGAGAAGAACUUUUAACAUCCGUGUGGAUACGGAUAAUCCGAAUCCGAUUAUCUGCGGAUACAGGGUAGGAUAUGGAAUAGGUAAAAUCCGGCGGAUAUGGAUUAUCCGCAAAUUUUAUGCGAAUUCUCCGAUGUUUAAAAUAGGAUAUCCGAAGGUUUCUCUUCCAAGACUAAAAAAUUUAGGAUUUUAAAAAGUUUGUUAGUUGAGGACUUUUAUUUUAUGAGGUGGUUGUUUAAUGUUCUAAUUUUUAAAUUAAGAAAUUUGCUAGAUGCUAUUAUUUAUUGGCUAAUAACUUAUUAUUUUUUGUGAAGAUAUCAUGUUAAGUGUUAAUUAUUAGUGUGAGAGCAACAAUAUGGAAUGCAGUGCAAGAUUAUUAUCUAUUGCCUAUUCUUGUUCUGUACUAAAUAAAUUCUUCACAAGCAUAUAAUUCUCUAUGUAUGCACAUGUUACUCGACUAUUAAAAUCUGUCUCCGAUCCGUUUCCGCUCCAUAUCCGUACCAGUUCCGACUACCGAAAAAAACCGUAUCCACAUCCACGUCCGUGUAUUAACCGCUCCGCACCGAAUCCGACAAAGAAAAGCGGAUUAGGAUAUGGAAAAGACAUUAUCCGACCGAUCCGAUCCGUUUUCAUCUCUAAGUAACCUACAUGUGCUAAUGAUAGAUUAAUUAGGCUUAAUAAAUUCGUCUCGUAGUUUUCAAGCGAGUUAAUUAAUUUUUUUAUUAGUAUCCGAAUUUUUUUUACUCCAAAUUUUCGUACUCGCAGUUUCCAAGCGAUGUGAACUUUUUUGUUCUUUGAUUUGUGUCAGUAUGUUGACAAUAUUUUGCAGAUAAAACCUAUCUUUCCUUUGGAUUAAUAGUGGCCAAAAAGCAGGGGCAGUCCCUGUAAACUAGAAGUCACAGAUACUAUUCUAUUCCCUUAUUCUGUAAAAUUGUUGGCUACUUAUUUCUCAGAAAACCUUCAUUUCUGUGUGGUACACAGUGGUGAAGAAGCAGGGCCAGUCCCAGUGCUGUCCGCUCAUCCCCGUACACGAGGCAAGAAAAAUGCCGUUAUGGAGGACAGAGUUUUCCAAGAAUUACCUGAUGUUAGGCUUGAUGAUUCUGAUUUUGAGUCAGCCUUAUUAAAAGAAGGAUCAUAACGUUCACUUCAUUUUGUUCUUGCAUACAGAUCUUUGAUGUUGUACUGUCCAAUCCAAUGUGCAUUUCAUCAGGUUCCGUAGAUCUCCAGUUUACUGUUUUAAUGCUGUGUCUAGCAUAUGUAUAAUAUUGCCCAAUCAUGGUUCAGCUAGACUCUUUUGCAGUGCAAAUGAUUUUGCAGGUAUAUCAGAGCGGCAGUGGGCAGUUAUUGUGUAUCACAAUAUGACCCGCCAUCUGUGCAUAAAACAUGGCUGCUCGCUGGUAGAGCUGAUGAGUCUGAUUAUAUCUGAUGAUUGGUAAUUUAUCAGUUGAUAAAUUCAAAUUUUUGGAUGGAGUUUGACUGAAAAUGGGAGAAAAUAUGGAGUUGCAACAAUCUUUGUUUCAAUUUAUGUCUGAUGUAUUGGUAUGUAUAGUUUAUAGGACCUGUAGUAAAAGCCAAAAUAGACUAACUAUAGCGUGAAUGAUCCUACCCCUCGGAGGAGAUAAUAAAGAACUUAAAGCAGACAGUAUUCUACUGCAAGGGUGGUCUUAAGAAUCCAAAAGAGGUUGCUCAGAAGAGAUAGAUGUAUCCCAACCUCUAUUGCUCUUGCGUAAAGCCUUUUUUUUACACGACAGGAAAAAGUGACUAUGAAUUCCCCUUUUUGUUUGUGACCAAAAUCCAGAUCGCUGAGACCCUGGUAGAAUUAAUGCUGAUUAUAUUGUAAGCUUCCAAUUUGAAUCAGCAAACUUUACAUUAUAUGUACCCCUCCUACAGACCUAAGGGCCUGUUUAGAUUGGGAACGAAAAUUUUUUGGGUGUCACAUCGGAUGUGUCGGAAGGAUGUCGGGAGGGGUUUUUAAAAACUAAUAGAAAAACAAAUUACAUAACUCGUUAGGAAACUGCAAGACAAAUUUAUUAAGCAUAAUUAAUCUGUCAUUAGCAUAUGUGGGUUACUGUAGCACUUAAGGCUAAUCAUGGACUAACUAGGCUUAAAAGAUUCGUCUCGCGAUUCUCAACUAAACUGUGUAAUUAGUUUAUUUUUUUAUCUAUAUUUAAUGUUCCAUACAUGUGUCCAAAGAUUCGAUGGGAUGGAUGAAAAAUUUUUGGGUGGGGAACUAAACAGGGCCUAAGCGUAAAAUUAGUUUCCCUAAAUUUUUUGGAAGUGCACUGGACCUGUGUUUUUUUUAUCCAUUUUAAAAUUCUAGCAUUGUUAAUACCUUUUUACCCUUUCAUAGUGUCAUGUAGCAGUUGAUAAUCAAAUGUGUUUCAGUGUGAACCUACUUUUCCAAAAGUACCAAUGUGUCUUGUACUAUCUAUUUUUUGAUGGAGAUUCCUUGACCUGUUGCCUUAAGAAAAAUCAUUCACCAGACUUUAAGGAAAGAAGAAAGCGUUUGAAGCAUGUCAACACAGCAACAGACAAAGAUGUCCUAAGCAUGCAGGACAAUGUGUCAAGUGUCAUGGUAAUAUAUAUAUACUGUGUCAAGUAGCUUAAUCGCAUGAAGAAGAGAGUUCAGUACCAUCUGUACAGCUGCUUAAAAAGAAGCUAACGAUUAGACUCGAGGCACCACACCUUUAUGGUGAUAUUGUUUUAGAUUUAUGCAGGUGACAUUAAUUAUUUUGGCGUGUGGUCCAUGUUCAAGAUUACAAAAUCAAUGUUUUUACUGCUGCAUCUCAUGUAGCUUGCACCUGUUUGGGUAUAUGUUUUGAUGAAUAGAUGCACACUUUCGCUUAUCAUCACAUUUUUAUUUGCAAUCUUAUGGAUGUAUCAAAUGACAAUACAGGCAAGACAACGCCUUCAUGUGUCAAGCCACACAACAUCCAAUAGCACAUCAAAGCAGAAGGGGAACUUAUGGUUUCUUCAGAAUGAAGUUCCUAUCAGGAUGGGAGAAAGAGACGGUUUUACUGGAAACUUUGACAAUGAUAGUUUGUCUGACAGCUUCAGUGAACCUCAAACUUCAGAUACUCUGUCUAUAGGAGCUCGAAAAAAAUUUAAUAAGACAAGUGCACCAUCAUCACCAAUUCCACAAAGUACCCUGGAUUCUCUAUAUGAAUAUGGUGAAACUAGCAGGCAUGAACCAGAGGGAAGAAAAGAGCUAGAUGACGUUGAAUUAAGGGAGACUUCAGGAAGCUUCCUAUCAUGUGAUUUGUCAGGACAGGAACCAGCUUUCUGUACUCAGGAGCAGGUUGAUAAAUGUAGCCUUGGCACUCUAGCUGAUGAUGAAAUGGGAGUUGAUAACAAACCCAUGGAAAAAUCAUCUAAUAUAGAAAUGCAAGCAGAAUUAUCAUGUGUCAUAUGCUGGACGGAUUUUUCUUCUACAAGGGGCAUCUUACCAUGUGGACACCGAUUCUGUUAUUCAUGCAUUCAAGGAUGGGUAGAUUGUCUGGUAUGUAUUAGGUUGAUUCUUGUUUCUUGACCUUUGCUUAUAUUAUUUGUUUUCCAAACACACAUGAGAUCUGAGUAUCAUUGUAUUAAGAAGAAAAGCUUUUGCUUAGAUAUUAAUAUUAUGUUCUCCAUUUACGUAAUCAAUGUUUUGGAGACAUGUCUGUUGCCCUACUAGAACUGAUUUGUGUUCUUGAACCUGGUUUGGUUCAGAUUAGGACAGUUGAGAAUGUAGUAAUGCAGAUUCAAGUCAAGAUAGCUUUAUGGCAUAACUGAAAGAAAUGAAACCAACUUAUAACAUGUAGGGAACACGACUAAGAAGUAAAAAAAAGGCAACACAACUAAUACGUUCCAUCCAAUCAAUGGCAUAAUCUCACUUUGCUAUAGUUUAUUUCUUAUUUAGUUUUUUUUCACCACCAUUAAUGUUCAACAAGAAAUGCUUAUAUUCAAUUAUUCUUAGAGCUGCAUCAUGCUUUUCAGGCUUCUAACAGUAAAGUCUCAACAUGUCCCCUUUGCAAAGCCAAUUUCACAAGGAUCAGUAAGGUGGAAGAGGCAGGCACUUCAGAUCAGAAGAUAUACUCGCAGACCAUUCCUUGUAAAUCUUCUACUGAUGUUUUCGUGUUUGGCAAUGAAGGCUACGAUUUAUCGCGAUCAACGGUGAGAUCUUAUUAUUUCAUAUCUCCAUGCUGCUUAAAUCUAUUUGGAUCUGCGAUGCUUACCCCUCCUGUAACUGAAUCUGUUGUCUAGUCUGAGCAAGGAGCAUGCUACCAAUGCCACUGCCGUGAGCCUGAGGAGCUUCUUCUAAGCUGCCACGUUUGCAGAUCACAGUGGGUACACUCGUACUGCCUUGGUCCUCCACUAACCCCGUGGACAUGCAUGCACUGUAGAGAUCUUCGGACGCUAUAUCACAGAUAUCGCUAGCCUGAAACAUUAGGAUAGUCAUGUCAUAGCCCCUAUUUGUAUGAAUUAUGAUUUGUUUCUUACCGGAGGUCUGUUUGAGAUUGUUGUGAAGCAAAUUGUAUCAGAAGGCAUGAUGGACAUCUGGGCUUGUUCUUUGGUGACAAUUUCUCCCUGAAGAAGUUUGCAGUGUAGUUGCAAUUAGCACAAACCGUGUUUAGCUUUAUUACCAAGUUCCAUUUGAUGUCUAUACUUGUAGUAUUGAUUGCUGAGGUGGAUGAGACCUUAUUGAACUCCAGAUGUUAUCUUCUUUGCAACCUUAAGCAUUUCCACUAGAUCCUCUUUUCUCUUCCCCUUAAAAUUUUCUAUAAGGGAUUGAGAAAAUAUGAUUUGUAGUUUUAGGAGAGUGUUGUUGUGGCAGAUUGAGAAAAGUCAUCCUCUUUAUUUAAGUGGAACCCACAUAUCAAUCGAUGGGUAGAAAUCUUCUUCUUUUUGCUUGAGCCUAUGAUGUUUGUUUCGAUUGCCUCUGUUUUUCAUGCCCCGGAGUUAGAGGCAUUGUCUUUUGAACCUGUGCCUCGUUUGUCCCCCAUGUAGUCUCUGUAUUGGCUGAAUGGACAAUGAUAGUGACUUGUGCGUUGUUUCCUCUUGGUUUUCUCCACGCCACCUUUGCUGUUGCCGACUUCCUCUGCUUGUUCAUCAGCCACAGUUUGUGGAACCUUGCUGCUGCUCUCAUUUGCGAGCUCUUGUUGGUUGAUUAGUCAUCGCUGGUGGAACUAACGUUGCUUUGCUACCCAGUUGUCUCGGGGCUCUCUGUGUUGCCUGGCCUUUGGGUGGUGUUGUUGAGGCGAUUACUCUAUCAUCAUAGGUUAGUUGACGUUUGGUCGUUGCUGAUGUUUUUUUUUUUUGGUGAUCCAAGGCCUAGGCCUUGUUGGGUCAUUGUUUCUUGGUCGUUGCUUAUGGAGUUGUGGUGGAUGUGCUUGGGCAUUGCUUAUGGAGUUGAUGUGGCUGUUCUCUCGCCGCGGCGAUCGGUUAUUUACUCGAUCGUAGUACUUAGAUACGGUACAGAUAUUAUAGUUGGCAGCAGCAAGAUUUGCAAUUCGAAGCUGCGCAAAGUUGAAUUGAAUUGAAAAGAAAAGGGUAGGCAAUAGGCACGGAGGCAUGAGAGCAGGGAGACGAUGAACGAGCAUGAGUAGUGAGCUUCAAUACAACAACGUCAAAGUAGCGAUCAAAGUAACCAAAACCUUAAGCAGAGUAAUGCGAUUGCCAAAAACAAAGACGCUGAACUGAAUCCUCAAGCCAAGAGCGGCAUAUGACCGAACACCUUGCGGGCGUCACAGCCCGGCGUGGCCGUCGCUAAGAUCCUUGAGCCGCGCCGCCGCUUUCCCCGCGUCGAUCGAGUACUGCAAGCGCAAGCCAGCCUUGCGUGCUUAGACGGUGGAGGUGGGCUUUUGAGAUUUGAGAAGGGAGCAGCCAUGGUAAGUACCUUGGAGAGGACCCAUGUGGAGUGGGUGUAUGCGCGGCGGAGGAGGGCGGCGAGGUCGUCGUCCGCGGAGAGGUCGCGGUAGUUGACGAAGUUCUCGCGGGCGUACUUGGCGUAGUAGGGCCGCGUCUCCGCCGGCAGCCGCCGCACCAGGCGCAGCACCUCACGAUACGCGCGCAGCCCCGCGCUGGCCAUCGUUUGCGGCAGUGCGUCUACCUACGUGGGCCGGAGGCGGAGGAGGCGGCGGCGCGAGCUGCUGAUUGCUUGCUGCGGGUAUGUACUCCACGCACAAGCCAAAAACCCAAUGGAGCUGCUGAGAGAUCCGUGUGUCGUUCUGCACGGUGCCAGCUCGCAUCCGCCUGAAACCACUUACCCUUUGUCUAAUUUCGUGGGGAUCUUAAACCAUUGUUUCACGAGUUUUGGCUUCAGAAAUGCCAUGGAAAAACACAAAGAACAAUUCCAAUGUGGAUGCAGACUUCAUUUGUUCAUAUGCAAAAUGGCCGUGAUAGCCCACUGAUAACUGAUUGGCCAUUUGAUGAGUAAAAUUUGCAUGCUCGAGACUUGAUUGAUUGGUUUGCUCUCUGACAAACUCAACCGGAGUCCGGAGAACGACUCAAAUCAUUCUGGCAUUAUUACAGAUGAAGCAGGAGAAAAUUUAUCAUGAAUGGCAGGAAAGCAGAUCAUGUUUUGCUCUAUAUGGAUUCCGAUUCCCCUUCGAUGAUCCGAAGCAUACAUCCUACUUUAUUCAAAGAAAAUAUUACCAAAGGCCACAACUAACAAGACAUUGUAUAUGGGGAGAAAAAAGAAAAAUUGUUUCGAUCCCGAAGAAGCCCCGAUCCUUGCGGCGAUCUGACACCGUCCUCUCCUCUCUACUUCUCUAGGAGGAGGACUGCAGCUUGGAGCUGGUGCUAGGGCCGGCAGAGCAGGAGGAGCGGAAGGCGUCGAUGUGCGCCUGGCACUUGACGCGGUCGCCCUUGUUCUCCUCAAGGCACCUCCGCAGCGCCUCCACGUCGCACGCCGCCGCCGCCGCCGCCGCCGGCCUAGGCUGCGUCUUCUCGUCCCUCCCUCUACCGCCGGCAACGGAAACAGAUGGCGCCGCCGCCGCCGCCGCCGCCUCCAUGCUGGGUCUCUUGCUCGGCGGCUGUAGCGUACGGCGUAGGGUAGAUGUAGAUCGAGAGUACAAGUCUGAACGCGAUGGGAAAGGGAGGACCGGAGGAAUUUUUUUUCCCCGCCCAGCGGAACGCGAACGCAGGCACGAAGAUGGCGUAAAGCGUCAAAAUACGCCUUUUACGCUUUUGGGACGGGAUCGGCAUGCCAAGACAUAUAGUGUUUCUAUUUUAGAUUAGCAAAACAAAACAUUAGAUUUAAGGCUAGUUUGGCAAUUGGCAUGACUUCUCGCGGUUUAGGCUACUCUUAAUGCAAACAAUGUAGCCUAAACUAUAGUAAGAACUAUUUCUGGCUCCUUCGUCCACGGUAGCAUGAGCACUUCUAAGUAUGACCUAGAGCAUCUUCAACGGUUUACCAUUCUAGUUUGGCAUUUGUGUUUUUUAGCAAAAAGGUAAAAAUCACUCAUCCAACGGUUUUGCAAACGGGUUUGCCAUUUUAGUAAACUUGGCAUUUGAGAGGCUCUCCUUGGCAUAUUUGCGAGUUGGGUUUUGCCUUGGCAAACGCUUGCAACCGGUUUUCCUGCGUCAAUCCCGCGCGCGACCAGGUCUCUUUGGCGCCGUUUCCUUCAUCGCUGGGAGUUCUCGCGCCAAAUAGAGUCUGCGCAACCAUUGGGUUGCCGCGACUGAAAGACGUGGUACGUCCCUCCCUGAAGAUCGCGACUGGACAGAAAGAUGCGAGCACAAGGAUUUGGCCGGGUCCACUAGGUAAUUGCCAAGUCAAAAAUGCCAAACCCUUAGGGAUGGCCAUAUUUUUUCUUUGCAUUUGCAUUUGGGAGUUGGCAAACAACAACAAAUGCCAAACUAAAAUUGCCAAAUCAAAUUUGCCAAACCAUUGGAGAUGCUCUUAUAAGUGUGGAUCUAUUUUGCUUGCGAAACCACUAUAGCCUAAACUAGUAGGCUUCUUGGCAUGACUUUGAUUCAUAUCGUCCGGUCCGAUGGUCCUGCUCCGGUACAGUAGAUCUAUCCUGCUUGACCUUUGAAAGGCUAAGUCAUCACAUUUAUUUGUGUUCCGACGAGAGACGUUGGCCAUCUUUGUUGAUCCCUUUGCCAGCUCCAUGUGCAUUCGUCAAAGUAGAGGCACGCCCGCACAAGUGAAGGAAAAAGAUAUAGUAAUUUCUCCUGUACCAAAACAAAUGUGUUUUUAGGAUUCUUAGAUUAGAAGAGAUCUAUAGUACUCAGAAAUUACAUGUUUACACAUAUGACAACCUAUUUUAGCAUAUAAUGAUUGUAUUUUAAAAUUAAAAAACUUGACUGGGGAUGAUGGCUCCACUCACAGUUGCUACCGGCUGUGGAACAACCCCUAAACCCUAACUUUGCUAGGGAGGAGAUUUUUAUUUACCCCUAGUCUAAAAUUGACCUCACUAGGGCCUUGUUUACUUCUCAGAAAAUUUUACAAAAUUUUUCACAUUCCCCAUCACAUCAAAUCUUUAGACGCAUGCAUGGAGUAUUAAAUAUAGACAAAAAUAAAAACUAAUUGCACAGUUUGGUCGAAAUUGACGAGACGAAUCUUUUGAGUCUAGUUAGUCCAUGAUUAGACAAUAUUUGUCAAAUACAAACGAAAGUGCUACAGUGUCCAUUUCCCAAAAUUUUUCGGAACUAAACAAGGCCUAGGGAUUUAAACUUAGGACCUGGGGAUGCCGCUGGAAAGAUGUAACCAAAUGGAGGAAAAGAAGUCUAGUAUAAUUAAUUAGUUUGGAUCAUGUCAUCCCUAAAUACAUUUAUUUUGAGAUAAAUUUCAAAUGUUAGAAGUAUAUUUGUUUUAGGAUGGAAGAAGUAUAAUGAUAGGACAUCAAGUGACAUGUUUCGUAUCAUUGCAUAUGACAUUAUUAUAUAUGUUCACUCUGGCCUUGUUUAGUUGCAUUUUUUUUGCAAAACGAAAACGGUACCAUUUUCAUCUAUAUUUGACAAAUAUUGUCCAAUCAUGGAUUAACUAGACUCAAAAGAUUCGUUUUAUAAAUUACAAGUAAACUGUGCAAUUAGUUAUUUUUUAUCUAUAUUUAAUGUUUCAUGUAUGAGUCGCAAGAUUCGAUGUGACCGAAAAUUUUUAAAAAUUUUGGCCUUGUUUAGAUGUGAAUUUUUUUUAGAUUUUGCUACUGUAGCACUUUCGUUUGUUUGUGGUAAAUACUCUCCAAUCAUAAACUAACUAGGGUCAAACGAUUCGUCUCGCGAUUUGCAGUUAAACUGUGUGAUUAGUUUUUGUUUUUAUCUAUAUUUAAUGCUUCAUGCAAUAAUUGCAAGAUUUGAUGCAACAGGGAAUCUUGAAAACUUUUUAGAUUUCGGGGUGAACUAAACAAGGCCGUUGUAAAGUUUUUAGAAAGUAAACGAUGCCUCUGUCAGCUUGAUUGGGUUGGCCUUGUUUAGUUCCAAAAAUUUUUAAAAAAUCGACACUGUAGCAUUUUUGUUUGUAUUUGACAAAUAUUAUCCAAUUAUGGACUAACUAGGUUUAAAAGAUUCAUCUCGUCAAUUCCGACCAAAUUGUGCAAUUAGUUUUUCUUUUUGUCUAUAUUUAAUACUUCAUGCAUGCGUCUAAAGAUUCAAUGUGAUAAGAAUUCUAAAAAAAAUUUGUAAAAUUUUUUGGAAACUAAACAAGGCCAUUAGUUGGCCGCAAGCCACAGGAGGGUCGGUCUGACCAGGCAGAAGCGCCAGUCUGGCAAUGGGUGGCAGGAAGACGACUGACCCGACCAACCAUUAAUCAAGCGGAGGACAAAGGAGGACCGCGAGUCGCAAAGGUAUGGUCUGGAUCAUGGGUUCCAGUAGUCAAAGUCAGGGUAACAGAUGCGUUAUGUGUAUGUGCAGUGUGUGACGACGAAAGGAACAUCUAAAAUGAUACCCAUGGAGUCAUGGACCGACUGAUCUCGGUCCAAGAAAUAACAGAAAUGAUCAAACAAAUGACGUGCGUAAAAGAAAUCAAUCGUCCCCCAUUGGACGUUGGGUUGACCUGAUCGACUCCUGCAGAGAUACUCUACACUAUAUACAUGCUAGUCCAUAUGGCAUGCAAUCACUAAUUGUAACUGCAAGUUAGUUCCACUUAUAAAUAAAUCAUGGCCAUGGCUAUGCCGUCAGCGAUGGUGACGUCGAUAGCCUGAGAUAGACACGUUCCGGGCGGCUGCAUAAAUUAAUGACACGCACACACACGGUGCUUCGGUUAAUUUCAACACACACUCAUCAACGACACGCGUUAUCAUUCCGUGGAGACAAAAACAAAACGCGAUGAAGAAGCAGGCGAGGUAUGCAUCGUCGUCGUCGUCGUGGAAUAUCCCAUCCAUUAUUCGUCCAUAUACCUGCCUUCGAUGGACAAUAUACAUAUGCAAGCAUUAUAUGUAUUGCAUUGCUAGCUUGCUGUUCAAAAUACAUUGUAUAAACAGCUGAUAGUCAGUAUUGUUUUUCUCUCAUAACAAAUCUGUGAAUAAUACUUUUAGAUAUAACUUUUCAGAUCAGCGAUAUGCGUUGCCAAUUGGAGAACAAACGUUUGCAGCUCCAAGUGUUGACCUUACCCUUACCAAGAAGCUAGCAAGCACCCAUCCAAGUUAGUACAACAGGAUGGGAUCAUCCUCGAAAUACGUGCAUCACUACCAAAUUAAACCACCAACAACGCAAGCAAGCGGCCGAGGUCGAGAGCAGAAUCAAUGACUAGAUGCAGGUAUAUUCUCCCAGGACAGGCCAGCAGCUUCGUUCCUGCGCAGCUAGGCACAAGAGAAAACCAACAACUUGUACUGUUGUUGACCGGCAAGAAAAGUACAAAGAGAGGAAACUUCCGCGAAAUUUAGACGAAAAUUAUACUAUUGGUGUCUUAAAUUCAAUUGCUCACGACCAAUAACCAUCUUCCUUUUUUCUUCCUUAAUUUGCAAAAUAACGUAGCAUCGAUCUUCGUUGGGUUUAAGUUAAUUAAUUCUCUCAUGACAGAAUCCUUUGUUUAUCACUAGCUAGUACAAUGACAUAUACCAUGAUGCCAGGAAUUAAUGAUGUAUGAUGCACAGCCGAAGCGUCUUCGUGGCAGUACGAUGAAUCCAAACACCAGAGGCUGAGAGAAGCAUGGCUCGCAGACGCACACAUAGGACAGGAGUGGCCUUUUUGUUUGUUUCUUCAUGGGCGUCUCUAUCUGCUGCUUUAAUUAAUUCUUGCAUGCCUUAAAAUAUUAUGUUUUUUCUUGCCAUGUCGUCAUUUUUUUCCCUAUGUGGCGUCUCAUUUAAUGAGCUAAUUAAAACCCUCAUUAAAAAUGGUCUCAUAAAUAUUUAUAGAAACUUUGACUAAGUUUGUCUAAAUCACUUCCUUAAAUUUAAGUAGCCAUAUCUAUUAAAAAAAUAUGUUACUUAAAUAAAAAUAUAAAUACAUAUAUACCAUAAAAGUAGUUUUCAAUUUCAUUUGACACAACUUUAUUUCACCAGUGAAGUUAUUUUUUCUUCAGCUCCAUGAGCAGACUUACCACUGGAGCUUUUUCAUUAACAAUUUGGCAAAACAGCUCAUACAUAGAGCUCUUUUAAACAUGCUCUUACAGAGUUACACACAGUGCUCACCAUAGUGAGUUAGAGCUCGGUAAAACUACUACUUUCAGCUCCAUCUCUCGUUAUGUUUUUUUUUUGAAGAAGCUGGAGGGGUGCACACCCCUACAGAGAUUUAUUAAAAAAGGCCGAAGCCAAGGUAAAAGUUAGAAAGCGAAAGAUACAAGUAAAAAUCAGAAGAGAAAGAAAGAGUCUAUUAGGUAAAUAUGUUUUAGUUUAUUUCGUUUGGUAUAAAACAACUUCAGCUUGUGAAGCCAAUAGAGUACCUGUGUCAAACAAUGCCAUAUAUAAUGAAUUACGGAGUAUAAUCAUUAAGCUUGUGUUGUCGAUUUAACUAAAUUUCUGAUAAACAAUUGAUGUUAACAAGUAUAUAUAUACGCGUAUAGCGCUUUCGCUUGCUUCUUCUCUAGUGCUAACUGGACAAUCUGUAGAGUAAUAACAGCAAGCACUUGCGGCACAUGGCAGUGGUCAGCGCCCGCGGCUCUCCCAAUUCCUUCCCCUCCCCACGGUUGCCACCGUCGCCUCAGCCUCGGCCGGACGCCGAGAGGAUGUUCAUGCGCGGAGGGAGCAGCCGCUCCACCGGCACUAGCGGUAGCCUCAGGAGCGCCAGCCUCAGAGACAUUGACGAGGAGGCUGCCGUGGUGGUGGCCGACGACGAUGGAGGCGGCGGGAAGCUCUAUGUGGCCGUCGGAAAGGACCGAAAGGACGGCAAGUCCAACGUCAGCGCCGCUCAGAGCCUCGGCCUCGUCGGCGGCGAUCUCAAGCUCGUCCUGCUCCAUGUCCACCAACCUGCCGACAGGAUCAUGAACGGUAAACAACAAACCAUCAACUUUAUUUUAUUUGUUUGUUUAAUUCCUAGCCCUUGUCUCUUUUCCAUAGCCUAGCCUAGCUAUCUGAGCUAACAGAGUCGCCACGCCUGCAAAAUAAGCAACAAAAAUUGUGAUCAUAAAUGGCUUAACACCGAUCUAUGUUUUCUACUAUGUUGAUUUCUGGGUGUGUAGGACUAGGUUGCAAGGUUCUUGCAAGCCAGCUAGAAGAAAAGGAACUCAAAGCAUACAGGCAGAUUGAACAAGAAGAGAUGGACAGACUUCUCAACACCUACGUGAACCACUGCAGGUCGUAUCUCAAGGUCAGUCAAUUAUUUAAUUUCCUUGAGCCAUCUGUAAAGUUCUACUUCGUACUUCUCAGCAUCAUAGUCACGUAAAACGGGUUCAUCACCUUCGACCCUUGACCCGGGUUCCUCGACCCCAACCCAGGUCCAAGGAUUCAUUUUCGACCCGAAGUGUAAAGAUCUCUUGCAAAUAGCGUACCACGUACCGCGACCCCGUACCUCGACCCCAUCGACCCAGAAACUUUGUGACUAUGCUCAGCAUUUCUUUAUUUUAUUGUGCUUAUAUGCGCUCUGGUCAACUUAAUUACCAUGCAUCUAUGUGUCAUCAGGUCUAGUUGAACUUCGUGGGGGCAAAAAACAGAGUACAUCAUGAAAAAACCCUCAACUAGUAAUGAGGAAAUUGCUAAGGCAGGAUUUCCAAAAAAAAAAAAAAUGAUUUAUAUGGCAUUGCCAUCCCACUAAAACUUUAACUUUUACAGGUCGAAGCUGAAACAUUGAUCAUUGAGAAGAACAAUGUCGCAAAUGGCAUUGUAGAGCUAAUUAAUCAGCAUCGCAUCACAAAGCUUGUCAUGGGAAUGUCUUCCUUCUCAACGUAUGCAGACAUACAAUCAUUCCAACGCUAUGAUAAGCUUUAUGAUAAAUCAUACACAAGUUUAUCCUAAACUGCAUAGAUUGUUAUCAGAUAUUAACACACCAUCUUUUGUUUAGUGGAAUAUCGGAGCAUCAUCUGAGUUGUGAAAGUUUUCGUGCUUGAAUAUAGAGGCCGAAUUAUUUUCCUAUAUAUAAAAAUCUGAGUUCUGAAAGUAUUAUUUUCAUUCAUUUCCACAUCUGUUGCUUUCCAUGUUAAUAAGUUGAAGAAAGGCAACAGGAUUGAUAGCCAACAGAAAAGAUACUUCUUGCCAAAAUAAAGUAUCAGUAACAAAAUCCAGUUUUUUUUCCGUGUAUACUUGUUACAUGGUACAUGGCAAUCACAAGGUGUGAUUGAACUUCUUAUAAGCAAAAUAUGAUUUAUUAGUUACCAUCGUCACCCUGUCUAAAUUAGAGGUCAGCUCCGUUCUUUAUGUUGUUGACCAUUGAUUUCCAUGAACAGGAAGAGGAAAGUACCCAAGUCAAAAGUUGCAGCCAUUGUGCAUCAACAGGCCAAACCGUAUUGCCAGAUCUUCUUCAUUUGCAAAGGGUCUCUUGGUUGCACUAGGUAUUUACCCUUUGACCUUCAUGCAUCCCUGCUGUUCAAAAGUUGUAUAUCAAUCCUGACUUGUGCAAUGACUCACCAUCAUGUUUUUUGGGCAACCUAGUAAAACCAUGUUGUUGUUGAUUCGUCAUCAUUUUCAGGGAUGCCAAUCUGGGCUGUACAAAAGCCGAUUCACCUAGAAGCAGUUCUGCAAGCACUCUCUCAGAUGAAACUGAGAUACCUACAAGAUCGGUGUCACUGCCACCAGGGCAUCCUGGUUACAGGGGCUCCCCUGAUGAAUCAUUCCUACCUCGACGGUCACACUCAGUUAGUUACCCCUCGUCAGGAUUGAUAACCAAUGUGGAAAGGAUGUCACCUAUAGCACCGCAGUCGAUACAUGUGAAAACAACAUAUUGCUCUCCGAACUCCAGCCUGCCGAGCAAUGAAGGGUCCUCCUCAUCGAGUCUAAAGGAUUCAGACAGUUUAGAUGGGUCGCCAGUACCAGCCUCAAUUAUCAGCUAUGAGGAGCAACAAAUGUCUAUGGUAAGUCUAGAACUGACUAGUGUUCUCUAAUAACGAGCUUGCCAAAAUAACUACUGGUAUAGUGUUAACCUGAAACCAUUUGCUAUGCUUCAAAGCAAGGUCAACUGAAACCAAUUGCUAUGUGUUAAAAAAAAUAUCAGGUACCAGGUGCCCCUGUGCUCAAAAGGAUCUCAAAUACAUAAUUACUAUGAGUUCUAAACUAUACCUGAUGACCAAUUCAUACACAAAUAAUUAUUCUUGAAUGUCCGAAUCGCAUGCAAAAUUUCCUAGUAAUCAUUGAGCCAUAGAGAUUUUUAUGACCAAAUGCCAUAAACAAGUUGUACUUUGAACUCUUUUUUCUCUCUCUCUACAUUUCUAGGAACAAAUUAAAACCUUUUGAAGUUUUGGGAAUGCAAACUUAAAAUGCUACUAAUCAUGUGGCAUUGAUGCCAAUAUGGUUGUAACUCAAUGUAAAUACGUGGGAUGUUGAUAUUUUAUUCCAAGAUCUAAAGAAAAUGUAAAUAUGCGGGAUAGCUCCCUUGUUAUGAUUGAUGGUGUUAUCUGGUGUAAACAAAGGCUCACCAUUUGUUGAUAACUUAGAAUAUGUUGCUUUGCUCUAUCAUAUAUUUGCAAAUUUGUAACAGUCAUCGGACAUUUGGCUGAUAUUCUUGAUUUUGCACAAGAUACAGUUGGAUAAUGCUCUGUUAUUUGUUGAACUCAAAGCAGAUCUUAACCUUUUGUAGGUGGAAAACGGCAUGCAUAAUGAAGUGUUUGAGCGUCUACAGCAAGCCCGCACUGAGCUAGAACGAUCAAGAAAGGAAGCAUGUGAGGGCCGGCAAAAAGCAGAAAGGGACCUGUUUGAAGCUUCCAUGAAGGUAUGACUUCUGUGCUUUCGUAAACUACUUUCUUCUUGCUUAAUCAUAAUGUUACAGGUUUACCCUUACCCUUAUCCCUGAAUAGAAGAAAUCCUUUUUUUUUCUUUGAGAAAACAAAAGAUCCAAAUGCCAGCAAGGUAGUUUUUUUUUUCUCGAAAAUGUGCGCUGCACGUACCUCAUUAAGCGAAGGGGAAUAGUUCAUUACAAGCUUGCUCGUUAGCCAUGGCGCUAGAGCAAGGCACACUACACAAGUCGCCGGUUCUACGGUGCCGCUGUUUGGUGUACUUAAAAAAAUAACAAUUGGGCAAUAAGGGGCUUAAUCGAGCAAGAAAAAGAACAGUAUUUGAGGCUCUUACUGAGGGGAGGUGGGUUGCAGACAUAAGGGGAUCUGCACUUACAGUAACUGUUUUAAUUGAAUAUCUUGAUCUGUGGGAGUUGUUGAUAGAGGUGGAGCUGCAGCCUGAGGCAGAGGAUUCCCACACCUGGCUAUUUUCUUCUAACGGGAAAUAUACGGCUAAGUCAGCUUACGAAGCAAUGUUCACUGGGGCCAUUCAGUUUCGGUCGUGGGAGAGAAUAUGGAAGAGCUGGGCGCCGAAUAAAUGUCGUUUUUUCAUGUGGCUGGUCGCGCAUAACAAAUGUUGGACAGCGGAUAGACUUGCAAAGAAGGGACUCCCACACCCUGAACAUUGUCCCUUAUGCAGCCAGGAGGAGGAGACAAUUGACCAUCUGCUUGUCUCUUGUGUCUUCUCACGUCAAGCUUGGUUCUUUGUACUGCAACGCUUUGGUCUUCAACAUUUGGCUCCGCAACCUGAUGAGCAGUCCUUUGAAGAUUGGUGGGAGGUGGCCUCCACUAGGGCGGCUGACUAUAUGAAUCAAGGCCUGAACUCUCUUGUCAUCUUAGUGGCUUGGGCGAUCUAGAAUCACAAGAAUCGCUGUGUGUUUGAAGGAAGGCAACCAGAUUUGAUUGGGCUUAUCGCCUCCAUUAGAGAAGAUCUAAACUCUUGGGGCUAUGCUGGGGAUCGAGGGAUUUCACAUCUCCUCGCCUUGCAACCGAGUUGAUGGCUUUGUGUAGUUCGGGUCUAGGCGUGUGUUUAUUUUUUCAGUAGGUAUUUUAGUGGGUUUUGUUGGUUUUGUGGGUUCGAGCCCCCUGCCCAACCCCCAAAAAACUGAUUUUGUAUUUGGAUGAUCCACCCUUUUUUCUCCUUCUUAAUAUAUUGAUACGCAGCUCUCCUGCGUGUUCGAGAAAAAAAAAGGGGGGCUGGAGGCUUCGGGCUGAGCGAUCAGCUGGAUGAGCGGCCCCAGGGCGCGGAAGCCAGCGCUGAAUUCACCGCAAAUAAUUUUUUUUUCUUAAAAGGUCAACAAGGAAGCCAGCAAGGUAGUUUUUUUCUUAAAUGGUCAACUAAUCUUUCGUGCAUUCAAAUAAAUUUCUUGCAGUCCAAAGCACGGGAGAAUUCACUCCACAAAGAAAAAAAGGAGGUUGAGGAAAAACUGACCAAAGAAAAGUCUAUUCUUGAAAAGGAGAAGUUGCAGAUAUACAAUGAGCUACAGAAGGCAAAUGAGCAAAGGGCACAACUGGAGAAUAAGCUUCUCCAGACCAACUCUCUUUUGGAAGAGCUCCAGCAGCUGCAAGGAGAGCUGCAGCGUGAGAAAGAAGAUGCUCUACGAGAAGUUGAAGAGAUGUGCAAACUAUAUUGCAACAGAAAUUUUGCCUCUGCUGGUGAAGUUUCCUUGACAGAGUUUAGCUACAGUGAGAUUGAAGAAGCAACCAACAAUUUUGAUGGCUCUAGGGAGAUUGGACAAGGUGGAUGUGCAAGCGUCUACAGGGGUUUUCUCCGUCAUACCACUGUGGCCAUAAAGAAAUUCAACCGAGAAGGCGCAGUAGGAGAGAAAGAGUUCAAUGAUGAGGUAAUUUAAUUUUCAGCCACUUCAAAUUUAGGCUUCUUUCAGUACAGGCUUCUUUCAGUAGAAACAUGAACCUAAAUCUGUGACUUUUGCAAAUAUUACUUACAGGUGGAGAUUCUAUGUAGGAUGAGACAUCCGAACCUUGCCACUCUCAUUGGAUUGUGCAGAGAUCCCAAGGUGCUGGUUUAUGAAUUCAUGCCAAAUGGAAGCCUAGAGGACCGCCUCCAGUGCAAGCUACACACUGAGCCACUCCCAUGGAGAAUGCGCGUCAGAAUUGCUGCCGACAUCUGCACAGCGCUCAUCUUCCUUCACUCCAACAAACCAAAAAGCAUCGCCCAUGGUGAUCUGAAGCCUGACAACGUCCUCCUUGAUGCUAACUUUGUAGGCAAGCUGGGUGACUUUGGAAUUUCUCGCUCCCUAGACCUGACAAACACCACUGUCACCCCUUACCACAGAACGGACCACAUAAAAGGCACAUUGGGGUACAUGGAUCCAGGGUACAUUGCUUCGGGGGAGCUUACAGCGCAGUACGAUGUCUACUCCUUUGGAGUUGUGCUGCUGCGUUUGCUAACAGGCAAGAGCCCACUAGGACUUCAGAGUGAAGUGGAGGCAUCCAUGAGCAGCGGUGUCUUGCAUGAGAUACUUGAUGCCUCUGCAGGGGAAUGGCCUCUUGAGCACGCCGAGGAGUUGGCAAGACUAGCUCUGAAAUGUUGUCGAUUAAACAGAAAGGACCGCCCUGAUCUUGCAAAAGAGGCAUGGGGUAUCCUGCAAGCUAUGAUGAAUGAGCCGCCACCUUCUUCAGCGCAUCCUCCGAAGGCAGAGGCACCAUCAUAUUUCAUCUGCCCAAUGACACAGGUCAGUUGCAAUUGUUGAAGCUGACUCUAUAUAAUGCUAAUACUCAGCAGGACUGCAGGAGUAGCUAGCGUAGAUGAAAAAUAAAUCUUCACCCAGUAUCACAGUCACAUCACCUAUAUAUAUAUAUAGCCUAUAAUCUCCUACCUAUAAGCCUGACAGUAAAUUUACCACACAGUAAUUACAUACAACUCUUAACAGUCAGCCACCAGAGUAAAGUUUUAAUUCCUUUCAACUAAUAUAAUGUUGCAUAUGCAUUAUUGCAAUGUUUCAGGAGAUUAUGCGAGAUCCACAUAUUGCCGCUGAUGGAUUCACAUAUGAAGGUGAUGCCAUUAAAGAUUGGAUCCAAAGGGGGCAUACAAUGUCUCCCAUGACCUACCUUAAUUUGUCACACCAUGAGUUAAUUCCCAACAAUGCCCUUCGCUUCGCUAUACAAGAAUGGCAAAUGGGACAGCAGCAAUAAUUUUGAGUUUCUGAUUGACCACACAUUUGGUUUGCGCUGUGUCGUGUUUCUGAAGUGAGUAAAGUGAUGCCAACUUCGAAGGUGUACAUACACAUUCUAGGCAGCCUUUUUUUCUCUUAUAUCAAAAAUUUUAUCAAACUUUAGAGCUCGGAAAUAAAGUUUGAUGUGCGUGCCACUCUGACAGCUCACGUAUUUGGGAUAAAGUGAUAUGUAAUGCUCUUUCCAUUCCAAAUUAUAAGAUGUUUUAGGUUUUCUAGAUGUGUAGCUUUUGCUAUGCACUUAGAGCAUGUUUGGGAGCAUGGCCUAGGAGCCCGGCUGCGCUCCUAGGCUGCAACUCCCGUGGCUUGGCCCGCUCUGCAGCUCGGGCAGCGGGAGCCAAAAAUCCCCAAGCGCCUAGCCCCGAGGAAACAAAAUUAGGGUUCAUUUUUCCUAGGCACGGCUCUGUGCGGCGCGAGGACGGGGAAUUUGGGGGCGAUUUUGGCGGCGGUGGGUGGCUCGCGUGGGAAGAGGGAAAACUCCACGCAUGCUCUCCCUACCAGCGAAAUCCUCUGCCUUUAUAAGCGACGCUUGGUGCUGCUUCUCCUUCCUUCCUCUCUGAGCUCUUCGCCUUCCUCUAGCCACGUGAGAGAUUGGCAGCGGUGGUGAGCUGGUGUGCAUCAUGGAGGCAUCUCCCCCAGCGGCCUUGGUCUCCGUUCUUCCGCCUUCGAUCUGCUACGACGUGUCGCCGCUCCGUCGACCGUAGGGACUCCGUGUAGGUGGCCGUCUUCUUCCCUUUUCUUCCUUGGUUGCGGUGGUUGCUUCCUCGCCGGCCUGAUCUGCUUCCUCUGUCUCGCCUGGCUUCUUCCUUCCAUUGCACUGCUCCUUUGCACCUACGCCAACACCGAGGUGAAAUCAACCCCCAAACUUCUCUCCUUCACAGUGAUGAUGUUAGUGUCGACAAAAUAUGGUUGACGGUCUACCUAGGGGUAUGCCCGAGGUAUUAGAUUGUCGGCAGACACAUGCGCAAUCUACGAACUAGACGGUGAUGCAAGACAAAGACAAGGAUUUAUCCAGGUUCGGCCGUCGUGAGGACCUAUGUCCUGCGUCUGAUUGUAUUAUUGUAUGAUGAUAUGAGAGAUGACAAUGACACUGCCCCUCCUUAUAUAAUGUAAAAGGACAGAGUUAUAAGUAAAAUAUAUUAAUUAGUAUAAUAUCUUCUUGUAGCCUUGUGGUGCACAUCGACCAACGUCGUGCAUCGCAUUUCUUCAUCCUGUGGGUUGGGCUACCUUCGAUGGUGCGGCCCAUGUCGAGCCAGGAGGGUAUAGGGGUUUAUACCCCCACAGCUUCUCUGAGCUCUAUGUAUUGUGAUGCGACGCACCAUCUUAAGCUUCUUUGACCGGUGAGGUUUGAGUUCUUGUUGUCCCUGAGGAACGUUGCCCAAGCAGUUGCAACAGUAUUUCGACCAGCGUAGACGAGAGUCGACCACCGUUGAUGCCGAAGAAGUAGGUUGUCUGAAGAAUGCAUGCAUUAUGCUCUUAAGAAAAAGAUUUCUUUCCCUGUAAAGUGUGCCUAAUUUAUUUUCUACGAAGAAAAGCAGUAGUAACUUGUAUAGGUGUGAUUUUAAUCAUCAGAAGCGUAGGGGUUGAGAAACACAUUCACCGUAAGGUGAAGUGUACCCACUUAGUCCUCAAGCCUAGUAGUAGGUGACAUAGACACGUGGUGCAGGGUCCAAAUAGAAAGAAUCUUCAACAUGGUUGAAAAAUUCAAUCAUCGUACGAGCGAUAUAAGAUGCAUCGUCAAGUGCAUCAUACUGAUGUAGUCCCCAAGCUUGCUGGAAGGUGAAGUAUAAACCUUGUAGCAAGGUCUAAAAAUAAAAAGCAUCUCUCGGUUGUAUAUGUGUCUAAUUUAUAUGUAACUGAAAAGAGCAGUCCCCAAGUAGUGGUUGGAGAGUGACCGAAGGAGUACCUAAGCAUAGCGUAGGGAGUGGUCGACGAGUCUCCGAGCGCGGUUGGAAACGUAAACAUAUUUAGUGGUCGGGGCAGUCCCUGAGCAUAACAUAGGAAAUGGUCGACGAGUAUCCGAGCGUGGUUGGAAACAUAAACAUGCUUGGUGGUCGGGGCAGUUUCUGAGCACAGCGUAGGGAAUGGUCGACGAGUCCUCGAGCGUGGUUGGGAACAUAAACAUGCUCGGUGGUCGGGAAGUUCCCAAACUUGGCAUCCGAGGAGUACUAAGGGGUCCUCAAGCAUAGCUUGUUGACUGAGCCAAGCUCCUAAAAAUAAAUAUGGAGAAUAAGUAGUAUAUGAUGUACAAAUGAACUCUAGAGAAAAAAAUUUAGCACUAGUAUAAUAUGCAAUCGUAACUUUAAGCAAAAAAAAAUCUAUUUUUAGCUUUUUUUACUAAAGUUAGCAUGAGUAGUUCUCGAGUUUCACCAGCUUUAGUCUAACCAAUAAUAUGGAGCAUGAGACGCGGAGCCCAGGCAUGCGUAAGAUUGCGGGCCUCGCCAAAGAGAUACUUUCGACCACCUGGAAUGUAAAGGAUAAAUCUCGUACACGUGUGGGGAGGAGUCAGAGAUAGUGCCAGCUCUAGGAAACUCAAGUAGGAGAAAGAACUGGUCGGCUAACUAUUAAGCAAAAAAUAUUUGGAGAUGAUAUACAUAGAGAAAAGUUGUUUGGAGAAUAAUCAUGUUGAGGAUAUUAUGGAGAACAUCAUGCUAAAAUUAUAUUAAAUAAAAUAUUAGAAGUGUACUUAUCUUUGGACAGAAAUCUAGUCGGUGGUGAUAAAAUUGUUUGGCCCUAACGCUGGUUAGGUAGAUCUAUUGUGGCCUUGUGGGUACCUGCUCGGUAGAUUGAUUCUAGAUUGAGUCUACUGGAGCUAGGGUUUAGAGAGCCUAUGGCCGACUUGAUCGAUAGCCUCGAGCAUGUCGAUGUAGUCGAUUCGCCUCCCUUCGCAGCAAGAAAGCGGGCGACGAGUUGUCGACGUGGUCAGAGAUGUUGCUAGAGUGGUCGGAGCUAUAGCCAGCAUGGUCAGAGCCACAACCGAUGUUAGUGAAGAAGUAAUCGACACAGAUCAGAUCAACGCCUCCUCCAUGGUCGUGGUGGUGAAGCUGUUGAAGCUGGUGGUCUAGGUGAUCUGGCCGAUGGUGAACGUGAGGCUAUUCACCACGACCACAGAGUCAAGGAUGAUGACCACCUAGUUCGCCUGGAAAGCUAUACACAUACCCCCUACUUGGUGUGCCACUGUCGAUGAAAUAUAGUUGGUAGUGUACCUAGGGGUAUACCCAAGGUAGUAGAUUAUCGGCAGACAAGUGCGCAAGCUACGAACUAGAUGGUGACGCAAGACAAAGAUAAGGAUUUAUCUAGGUUCGGUCGUCAUGAGGACGUAAUACCUACAUCCUAUGUCUGAUUGUAUUAUUGUAUGAUGAUAUGAGAGAUGACAAUGACCUAUCCUCUAGGGCACCCAUGCCCUCCUUAUACAAUGUGAAGUGAUAGAGUUACAAGUAAAAUAUCCUAUUUGGUACAAUAUCUUCUUAUAGCCUUAUCGUGCACAUCGACCAGCAUCGUGCGCCGCAUGUCGUCAUCUUGUGGGCUAGACCACCUUUGAUAGUGCAGCCCAUGUCGAGCUAUGAGGGUAUAGGGGUUUAUACCCCCACAGUUAGGGUUUCUUAUCGUAGUUGUUGUUCCUAAUUCGUUGAUCUAAUUUCAGUACAACUUGUUGUUCUUAUAUGGAUUAGGGUUUGCUACCAUUGUAGUUGAUGCUCAUUAUUACGGUCUUUCUUCGUUGCUACUAUAAUGUGCUUGUUCAUGCUGAUGUUGUUGUUCAUAUGGUUUGCUUCUGUAUUUCUAUGAUAUGUCAAUGACGUUAUCCUGAGCACUUGGAGGCAUUGACCUAAAUGCGGCCGUGCUUAUUGCUAACUGAAUCAUUGUACAAUCAUGUUGAGGCCAGGCAGGGUAUGAUGAUCCAAAUUUGUGUUACAUUGUUAUAUGCAUGUGGAUGGAUCCCUCUUUGAGCCAUGAGAUGAUGUGUAGGCAAGCAACUACCCUAGUUGUAAUGAUGUUAUUUGCUGUUACUAGCAGGCUUAAAAGGAAAAGACCUAGAACUGAUAGUGAACCUAACCCUCUUAUCUAUACACUUAGGGAUGGAGCUGACCAGCACAUGCAUCACACACUUAACCUGAUUUUUAACUAUAGUGACAUAGAAUGCCUAGCCAUGCUUAGGAUGACCAGAGCCCCUUUUUUCCUUGUGCAAUUUGUUUAGAGCUUGGAACCUAUUUACUGAUAGAGAGGGUGUAACAGUGGAGGAGCAGGUUGCAAUGUUCCUUCAUAUGGUAGGUCACAACCAAAGAUUUAGAGUUGUCCACCAGUUUUUUACGAGGUCCAAUGAGACAGUAUAGAAACACUUCCAUCAUAUUUUGCAUGCUAUUGGUGAGCUUAGGAAUGAGAUGAUCAAGCCUCCGAGCACUGCCACACACCUAAAGGUACUUGGAAGCCAUAGAUGGAAUCCUUACUUAAAGGUAAUUGUAAGCACAUUCUACUUGAUUAGAAAGGUGUACAUAUUCACAUGUAUUGUUAUCUCACUUACAUGGAUUUUAGGACUAUGUUGGUGCCAUUUAUGGCACACAUGUAUUGGCAAGGGUGCCUAGACACAUGCAACAAGCUUUCAGGGGUAGGAAAGCAAAUCCCACACAAAAUGUUAUGGCUGCUAUGGACUUCGAUCUCAAGUUCACAUAUGUCCUUGCUGGAUGGGAGGGCUCUACCCAUGAUGCACUUAUCCUGGCAGAUGCCAUAGAGAGAACUGAUGGGUUCACACUACCUAAAGGUAAUUGCACUAUCUAGUCACUGCACUUAUGUCCAAAACAUUUUCACACACACACACACACACACUCAUAGUAGAUGUCCAAUUGUAGGCAAAUUCUACCUGGUAGAUGUUGGCUAUGCAUGCAGAAGUGGUUUCCUACCCCCCCUAUAGGGGGGUCAGGUAUCAUCGAUUGAGUUUUAGAGCAGAAACCACCCAACCAAUGCAAGGGAGCUUUUCAACCUAAGGCACUCUUCACUAAGGGUCACUAUGGAGAGGGCUUUUGGUGCUUUGAAGAACAUGUUUAGAAUCCUAGACAAUAAGCCCUUUCACACAUACAACGCACAGGUGAAGUUUGUAUUGGCCUACUAUAUUUUGCACAAUUGGAUCUUAGGUUUUGGCAUGGACUAAGUAGUGCCACCUGAGGAAGGUUUCACUAGAACCCAACUUGACCCAUCCACUUCACACACUGGUUGACAAUGAAAGCCAGUCCCAAGACUCCAAUGCCAUGGCACUUAAAAGGGAUGCCAUCUGUAAUGCUAUGUGGGAAGGGAGGGGUGCCACUAGGGUGUGAUCAUUCAUUAACUAUGUUCUUAAAUUCAGUUUGUGUACCGUACCCUGCUAUUGAACUCAUGAUUGCAUAAUAACUAUGUAAUAACUUGUUGGACACGGCUGAGACCAAAUUUAUUUCCUUCCCAACUAUUUUUGUUUGGAUCAUAUUGUUUCUCAUCAUGUAUGACUGUUGCAUGGUCUUUGGCUAUGAAACUUAGCCAUUCAGUGGUAGCACCAUAGAUCAGUUAUGUUGCUCCUAUUGUAUGGCUAUGUCCCACUGCCAAAGCCUAAAAGGUACUGGUGCAGCAGCUGGUGCUAAUGAUGGUGCUACUAAUGUCUGAGGCCUGGUGCUGAUAACAACACUAAUUAUAUGGUUAAUUUAUUCAAAAUUGUUGUCAUGGAUAUCAAUCUCUUGCUCAUUGCAUUACCACAUCACGAUUUGUGCAUCGUGACUUGGGGCCUAGAUGAAUGUACCUUGUACCCAAACAAAAUCUUGGUUUGGUAAUUGAGGUAGUUGGCUUCUUAGCUCGGUUACAUGUGGACAAACAAAUACAAUCUCAUCUAGGCCUGACCCGUUUCAUACAUGUUGCCAAAUAUGAGCACUACUUGCAGUAGUUGGGGCAGGCCUAUCAUGACCUAUGCUUGGUGGGUGGGCCAAGCUAGCCUCAGCCACCCUCCCAAACAUGCCUUUAGGGUCUAUUUGGAUCCAUCCGUGACUUAGUUGCAUGGACAUUUUACAAGUCUGUGACAUGUCUGCCAGUGGUUGCAAAAAUGCUUGGUCAGGCAAAUCAAGAAUUAGCUCAAUUGUUUGGUUUAAUCCCACGGUAUGUGCAUGAGCAGGGGAAAGAGACUAGCGGCAUUUGGUUUCUUAGUUGCAUGGGGAUGCACUCAGUUUUAUUUAGGCCUUGUUUAGUUCACCCAAAAACAUUUCAAGAUUUCUCAUCACAUCGAAUCUUAUGGAACAUGCAUGGAACAUUAAAUAUAGAUAAAAAACUAAUUGCACAGUUUGCCAGUAAUUUGUGAGACAAAUCAAGUGGACUAGCCAGACAGUCCAACCGAACCACACUGUUGAUAUUUGGGAACGCAAUAAGGAAUUGAUCCGCAAGCGCACGGAUAUCGGUGAGCACUUCACCCGGGAAAUUAUCCAGAGUAUCGUAUUUAUUUUUUUACCACUAGGAGAAAGAGUGCAUCUUACUAACCGGUCUAUUACUACUAACCUUUAGGCACAAAGAAUGUCUUUCGAUGUGAGUGAUAAAUAGAGAAGACUGCAACCGUAGUCUCCUUCUAACCUUGGUAAGGAUGAUCUACUGUUCUAAUGGGGAGGCUAACGGAAUCUAGACACCACAAAGGAUGUUCAACCCGCACCUAUAAACCCUAUCCUUCCUGCUAACGAGAUGUGAUCUACAAAGGUAGCUCGGAAUUGUCACGUUCCUCACUACUACCACGGUCCAGCUAGUCAGGGAAUAUCUAUGAGUACCCCAGCCUAAACACCACGUUUACGCCAGCAAUGAUUACUCUAAACUCUACGCGAAGAGAUUAAAGUAAACUCAUAAACCAUAAGAACAAUACUUACUAGAAUUUAGAAGUUGAAUUACUGAAGAAUCCUAGGAGCAAGCUUCGGGUUAGGAGAACUUGAUCCCGCAGGUACAAGCUUGGAGUAGACACCGACAGGCCGGGCUUCCUCCAAUCUACACCUCCACUCUAUCUCUCUCAAUCUAGUAGAAACUAGAAGAUCUAUUUCUACCUUACAUUGGUUGCUAAGCCCUAAAAGAAAUAUUAAUUAGAGAAGAGGUUUUCCUUCGAGGGCACCCCUCAGUCUCUAUGAUAAUUUCUUCAUGUCUUCUCCAGAGGCCAGGGGGGCCUUGCUUAUAUAGUCCUCCCCUUCUAUGCGUUUUUUGGGACGAUAGGCGAGGUGGUACUAUGUUUUUCUUGAUCCAAUAGGUCGGUGGAAUAUCCCGAGCGAAGAGAGUCCUGAUCUGGCUCCAGAGGGGGGCGGGCGCCCAGGCUACCAGGGCGGGCGCCCUGGGCCUGGCCCAGUUUUGCCUCCGCUUUUGUCUCGUGGCUUUUGGAGUCUUCUAGAUGAUGCAAAAUUACGCGGUGCGUUGAUAUCUCUAUGUAAUCCCGACAUGUGGGCCUUUCUUCCUUAUUUCCUGAUAACCCCCUGCAGAAACAGAUAAACAAUAAAACUCGUGGAAUUCUGUCAGAUCAAACCCUAAUUCUAGGUGUUGAUUGCAUAUUGGUCCUUUCUCUUGUUUAUUUGAUAAUUAAAAUUGAUACUUAUGAACCGUCAACAAAUACCCCCAUACUUAGGCUUUUACUCGUCGUCGAGAAAAGGAUGGUUAAGAAAAAUAUCUGGGGUAAACAUUUAAAAAUAUUCUUUAUAUUUGCAGGGUGUUAAAAAUCCACUGUGUACCAUAGUCAGGAAGUAUAUGGUUAAGAGUAAAGAUCCUUUCUUCUCAAUCCUAUCACUUGGAGUUUUUGUAUAUUUUUGAAAGAAAGUAGCAUACCUUUUGAUCCUCAUAGGUUCUCUCAGAUCACUCAUUAUCUUUUAUAUAUAUCUCACUGAGGCUGUUUUAUUUUGCAAAAAUUCUCAAGCAAUCUUACUUUGCAUUUAUUGCCUGAUCAAAACGGGAUCCGAGGAGGGGAAUGUCAUACUCUUAGAUCAAAGACUUUGGAAAAAAAACUUUGUCAACUCUUGCUGGCAUAUUGCUUAUUAGAGGGACCAUGGGCUAUCAUUUUUUUCUCUUUUCUCUUUUCUCUCUUUUUUUUUAAGUGGAUACCGAGGUACCCCUAAUUCUACUGCCGGACACUUGUCCAUUUUUUUCUGCGAGGUUGUCGAGCACUUGCUCCUUUUUAUUUCCUCGAAAUAUUUUCUAUUUUUGCAUAGCCCAUGCCUCUAAUGCAAUAAUACUUCGGAAGAGUGAAUCUUACUGAAAUAAUGUCUUGAUCUUGGGAGCAUGAUAAAUCUCUCAACAAGGGUCUAACUCAUUUUGAACAAACUCAAUACAGAGCAGAUAGCUUUUAUAAUCAUAAUUAAUAUUUUCAUUUUUAUCAGGCAUAUGAAACACUGAGGAUGGUAGCUAGAAAUUUGAAUAUUUUGAAAUAAAUUCUCCAAGCAACAAUGAUAUCAAGAAUAAGAAACUCAUACUCUACCAUCACAUAUUCCAAUUGACUUAAGUAACACAGGGUUUUUAAAAUAAUUUUAUAAUAAUUGCAAGUUUUCAGGAAAUAUCAUAAAUUGAGAUUAAUCAUGAUUAGGAAUAUUUUAAUCUUUUUAUCUUAUCAUGUCGGAAACAGUAAUCUGCAUAAUUAAAGUAAAGUGUGCAGAGUGUGUACCUGAAUCGUGGAAUGGUGUAGUCGGAGUGUGUUUAGCAUGUUGAGGGAUCUCCCCCAUACUUGUUUUCUGCCUUCUUGCACAAAAAUAAAGUAGAGACACACAAGACAUAAUAAUAAUAAUACUCUUUAUUGAUCUUGAGGCAUUUAUUACAAAAGACUGAUGGCAAAAUGAUGAUAAUAGCAAACUGAUGAUAAUUGCAAACCUAAACCGAAUUUAAAGAUAAAUGACUAAGAUGCAUUGCCUCAAGGUCUAAUCUAGAUAACUUAGCGGCGCUCUAAUUCCUUGAUCUUCUUGUUGGCACUGGCAAGAUCCUGUCUAAGGCCUAGUAUAACGGUGUUGUGGUUAGAGAGCUGCCUAGUGAGGGAAUUAAUCGAGGACUGGAGGUCUAUGAUAACUCUAUCUAGCCUGCGAACUUCCUCAUCAAUAUCCAUUAUAGCCUUGCGACGCUUGGGAGGUGUCUCAAAAGCAUUGAGAGAGUGCUUCGGGGCUGUCUUUGGAGGGAUGAAACGGACUUUGGCUGCUCUAAUCCCUUCAAAGUAAGGCCUUUCCUCCUCUGUAGUGUAGCAAAUACUGCUGAUCUCGCCGCUCCGGUUGGUCUUGACUCCAACGACCCUCUCAUUGGGUCUAGGUGGAAGGAUCCUUGUGCUGAUUGGCACCUUGAUAGUGGUCUUCGUCUUGGAUGAUGAUCCUUUAAGGAGUAGGGGUUGUGGUUGUUGACGGUCCUUAAGUAUCAAAUUUAAUUAUCAAAUAAAUAAAGAAAAGGAUCCAAAUGAAAUCAAGAUCUAGACUUAGGGUUUUAUCUGACAGAAUUCCACGAGUUUUGGUGUUUGUCUAUUUCUGCAGGGGGUUAUCAGGAAAUACGGAAGAAAGGCCCACAUGUCAGGAUUACGUAAAGGUAUUAGCGUGCUGCGCAAUUAUCUUACAUCUAGAAGACUCCAGAAGCCA